CACCUGCAUGAAAACAAUCGUGAAGUAGAACUAGUAGACUCUAGAUUAUCAGAAUUCAGUGAGGAGGAAGUAAAACGCUUAAUAGGGGUAGCUCUUUUGUGCACUCAAACUUCACCAAAUCUUCGGCCACCAAUGUCACGCGUAGUGGCUAUGCUAACUGGUGAUAUUGAAGUGAGCUCUGUAACUAACAGACCUGGAUAUUUGACUGACUGGAAAUUUGAUGACACAAGCAACUUUAUGGAUGAUAAUGGAGGCAGAGGAAUUGAUACCAGUUAUUACAGUUCAUCUACAAGUGCAAGCAUGGUGACCGACGCAGAGCAUACACAUAUAAGUGCCGCCAAACCCAUGCUUUCGGAGAUCAUUGGAGAGGGUAGAUAAAGAAACCUUCUUUUCUAUUUCCUUCUUUUCUAAAUGUUCAUGCAUCUAAUUGUAGAAGUGAGCUUUGCUAUCUUAAUAUUGUUUUUCACUGAUGCAAUUAAAUGGAUAUCAUAUUUUUGUUUAAUUUUUAGCCACUCAAAAAAAAAACCCAGGAUUCAUAAAUUAAUACCAAUACAUACUCCAGAAGAAAAUGGCUAAUUUUCUUCUAUAAAGGAAAAAAUAUUUCCAUUUAAUUGCAGGAAAUUUUGACAAAAUUAUUGGCCUUGAUAUUUCUUAAAUUCACUUCAUGCAUCUAAUUGUAGAAGUGAGCUUUGCUAUCUUAAUAUUGUUUUUCACUGAUGCAAUUAAAUGGAUAUCAUAUUUUUGUUUAAUUUUUAGCCACUCAAAAAAAAAACCCAGGAUUCAUAAAUUAAUACCAAUACAUACUCCAGAAGAAAAUGGCUAAUUUUCUUCUAUAAAGGAAAAAAUAUUUCCAUUUAAUUGCAGGAAAUUUUGACAAAAUUAUUGGCCUUGAUAUUUCUUAAAUUCACAGAUUAUUCUUUUUAUUACUUUGCAUCAAAAUUAAACUUUAGCAGUCCUAAACAGCCAAAAGAAACCAAAAGUAUUAAUGAAAUAGUUGUUAAAUCAUAAUUUUUUUCUUCAUGCAAUUGCUGCUUUUGUGCAAUAAACAGUAAACAGGCAAAUAUGAAAUACAAAUCAAAUUUAAGAACAUCAAACUUCUAAAUCACACUUAUUUCAUGAUUCCUCCACUGUAAAAUUCCCCAAAUUACAAUAGCAGAACAGAAUAUUCUGCACAAUCGGUUGCUACCCAAGCCAAUUGCAGCAACAAAGAAUUUUUGCCAUCAUAUUCAAAAUCCCAAAACCCCAUAACCCAACCUAACUGCACAAAAUGAUCCUUGUCAAUCCCAGAACUAAACAUGACACCGUAGAGAAAAACAGAGUAACAAAAUCCCUUGCAGACCAUUUCCUUACCACCUUCUUCUCCACGCGCAAACUCUUAGCUCUUCUAAGCGCAUCAACUUCCUUUAAAAGAUCAAAUUCUACUCCUUUCUUCUUCAACUCUUCUACACACUUGGCCAAUAACUUCCCAUCUUCUUUCUCUCUCUCCAACAACUUCUCCAUAUGGCAUUCUACAUCUGUUUUAUAUCGAACUGCCCAGAUUAUCCCCAAAGAACACAAAAGAGAACACAAUGAUGGGAUCCAUGAUCUCUUACAGUAGGACCCACUUCCAGGUGGGUCUCUAGAAGAGACAUUCAAGAGAAGAAGCAAGGAAAUGGAAUGGAAGAGGAAGAAGAAGAUAUUUCAUGAAAAUUUUCUAAAUUUAAAUCUAUAUUUUUAUUACUAAAUCUAAAUCCCGGCACAUCACUGUUAUAUUUUUAUUAUCACUCUUUGGUGUAUAAUAUGUUGUGUGAAUCAAAACACCAAGUUAACACAGAAACGUAGUUCUUUUUGUGUCGUUUAGAUACUUGUACAAUUCUCGAAGCUUGCUCUAUGCAUUUAUCCGAGGAGAGAAGGGCCACAUUUGAAUGGGCCUAGUUUAAUUGAUAAAUAAACAAUUCACUGGGCCUGAAGAAUGACCGAAUGUUGCGACAAAAAGAACAGACUUUUCUAUUAUUAAUUUGGGCUACGGGCCCAUUGAUUAAUCCAAUUGUGUCCUUAGCAAAAUAUGCUAAAUAUUAUAGAAGGUGUUUUAUUAUGAUUAUUUAUUUUUCAGAUACAAUGUUAUAAAAAUGUGAAAGUUUACCCAUAAAUAUUUUUUUAAUGGAAGCACUUAAAAGAAAAAGAAUAAAUUUAAUAUGUGCUUCGAAAUAAAUAAAAAAAAGGAAAUUCGUGAAGUGAAAAUUUUGCAGAAUCCUAACAUCAUAAAAAGAAUCCUUUUACAGAUAAAAAGUCAAUAGUGCAUAUAAUAAUUUCAAUUUGCACAUAUCAAUUAAAUAAAACCUAUUACUAAAUAUUUAUCUUAGGGAGACGACAUAGUCAAAGCUUUUUUUUCUUUUCUCCUAAUUAAUCGUAAUUCAAUUGAAAAUCUGUAUAGUCUGUUCAGAUUUUUAAGAUUUAAUGAUAAUUUUUAAAUUUUAAUUCUCUCGAUUAUAAAUAAAAAAAUUAUUUUUAUUGUUUUUAUUGUAUAACUCAUAAUAUUAUUAAAAUUUUUUUUAAAUAAUUAUUUUCGUACAUUUAACGUCGGAAGGAAUAAAAAAAUUCAAUACCGAACACUGAGGAAUUGUAAAACGGUACAUUUUUCGGAGUUUUAUUUGACGGCGUCUCUCUGGCAUCCAACCAAAAAGGUUAGAAGCAGCCAUAUCCUAAUCCUAUUUUAUUGCUUAUUUUGAUUUUUUGAGGUUGACAUUUUUAUUAAUAAACGUUGAAAUUUUCCCUUGCGGAUAUUGUAUUUGUAGCCGACAAAAGUUGAGGUGUCCAUUAAAAGUUGCUAAAACCUUGUUUUUGUCAUUUUUUUAACAACUUAGCUUAUUAAUGUAAACACACAUUUAAUUACAUUUUCUUCACCUUUGCUAUUCUCAAUCUCAUUACAUGCCGUGUUUUUCAAACACAAUUUCACAAUCAACUUGUAAACUUUUAAUUCAUUAUAGAUUUUGAUUAAAUUAUUUACAUAUAUCGGUGGGUUGAUUAUAAAUAUUUUGUAAUUUUUACAAAGAUAGUUAUGAGCAUUGCAUUUUUUGAUAUUUAACUUAAUUAUUCCAAAUCAUUGUAUUAGCAUCUAAAUGAAGUUAUUAUUCUUGAAUAAUAGAAAGUUAAAGAUAAAAAAAAAAAAAAAAAAUACUGGACUUGGUGGACUUUUCUCAAUUCGUAAGUCCCAAUGGCCGCUGUCAAUUCCCCAGUAGACUUCAAGGUUCGGUUAUCUGCCAAGGUCAACGACAGCGCGUUGUUCUCUCUGAGCUCACCUCCCAUUUUUCUAGAUAUAAAUCUAGAAUAAUAUAAAAAAAAAUAUUCAAGCUUUAUUAUAUAUUCUGGAUGCGGUUUUUGUGUGUUAAGAAAAACUGUGUCUUUAUUAAUCAAGCAAUCUUGGACAGGAAACGAUCGAUCAGUACCCAUGUUUAGAGAUUCACCAUUAUCGGUUCUAGAACUGGUAUUGGUUCUAUACUGUAUUUGCAUGAUCGGUAUAGUUCAUGCACAGAAUCAAACUCAAGCUACUACAGAUUCUAAUGAGGGUAUGAAGCUCCAUCUAUACAGCUCUCUAUCUUUUAUAUAUAUAUAUAAAUUCUUGUUGUUCAUGAAGAUGAUAGGUUGAUGACGUUGCUUUCUUCUUCUUCUUCUUCUUCUUCUAGUUGUAGCUAGUUAGCAGAUGGGUAGAUAUUAGCAAAAUAGCCAAAGAUACAAACACUUGCUCUUCCAGUCGCCUUCUUCUUCUAUGAAAUUAAUGGGUUUCAUGAAAAACAAAUUAAAAUUUUAUCCUAAUUUUUUGAAUUAUGCAGUGAGAUUCUAAUUUGUGAAGUUGAUAACAAAGAAAUAAUCGAUACUCUGCAAUUUUCAACACCUGAACGUAUACGACCACAAUUUUAAAAUUUUCCCUUAGUUUGCAGAUGGUUGAAUUGAAGAGGUUUUUAAUGAACGUCUGAAAUUUUUUCAGUUUUUAAAUUUUAAUUAUAAUGCUUAAAUAUUUUUUUAUUCAUAAUUCAAUAAAUCAUAUAUCAUAAAUUAUAUCAUAGGUAUAUAUUAUUAUCUAAAAAGAUAGUAAUAGGUUAAAUUUGUCAUUUACAUAUUACUAUCAGGUAGUGCCUGAUUAUGAUUUUUUAUAAUAAAUAGUUCUAUUAAUUUUUUAAAAGUCAAAAGAUAUAAUAAUUACUUUUGAAUUUUUAAAAUUUUGACUUACUAGUACACCAAUAAAAAUGUAGGCGAAAAUUACUAUUAUUCGCAAGUGGUGGUGGUUAUUACGGUCUACGGCAUAGUCAAAAAGAUAAAUGGCGGCGUCUGAUACUGUAAUUGAAUAAUUCAAAACUGUUUUUUCUUUUUUCUUUUUUCUUUUAAAAAUUUCAGUAUCCAACUUUGAAUUAAAAAAUGAUUUUAAUCUGAUGAAUGCAAAUUCAUGAAUUUUAUAGUGUGUUUCAUUUUCAUCAAAUUGUGAAAACUAUUGUCAAAAACCUCAGAAAUCAAUACCUCCACUGGUGAGAAGACCAACCAACUGGCUUCUUCGGUUAAGUUUCGAAGUCGUAAUAGAAACGAAAAUGGAAUCGCCUGUAAAUUGUAAUGAAUUCACUUUGACAUGAUCAUGAGUUUUGUAAAAUUGAUAUAUUGCAGCGAGCGCAUUAAAUUCCAUCUUUCAACAAUGGGGAAUCCAAGCUAAUCAAAACCAAUGGAAUAUAAGCGGAGAGCUAUGCAGUGGAGCAGCACUCGGUUCAUCACCCACUACCGACGACGGGGAAUACAACCCUUUCAUCAAAUGCGAUUGCUCUGACAAUAAUGGCACCACUUGCCACAUUACUGCGCUGUACGUUUUCUCACAAUCAACCUUUUAUGUUUAUUUUGUUGGUCUUUUAACAUUUUCCUUUGCGGAGGUAUCAUAUCUGUUUGAUUUUAUGCCUCACUCGGUAGUGAACGGCUUGAUUUUAGUGUUAUAAUUAAUCUUCGCUCAUUCUUGAAAUGGUUUGCAGGAAGGUUUAUGCAAUCGAUGUUGUGGGUGUAAUUCCAGAUGAACUGUGGACUUUGACUUUCCUCACCAAUAUGUAUGUUUUCUUACUCCUGGGUAUAUUUAUUAAAGUCGUACCCUUCCGUAUUGCUUUCUUCUUUCACAUGGAAUGAAAGUUUAAGCUUUUAGCAUCCCAAGUCUUAACCAAAUUAUGCAUACGCUUUGUUACUUUUCGACCCUCGUCAACUCGUUAGUGUACUGAACUCGUUUUCUUUUCUUACAGGAAAUUGGAUCAGAAUUACUUGACUGGUAACCUCUCUCCAUCCAUUGGCAAUUUAACUCGCAUGCAAUACCUGUAAGCUGAUCUAAAUUNNNNNNNNNNNNNNNNNNNNNNNNNNNNNNNNNNNNNNNNNNNNNNNNNNNNNNNNNNNNNNNNNNNNNNNNNNNNNNNNNNNNNNNNNNNNNNNNNNNNNNNNNNNNNNNNNNNNNNNNNNNNNNNNNNNNNNNNNNNNNNNNNNNNNNNNNNNNNNNNNNNNNNNNNNNNNNNNNNNNNNNNNNNNNNNNNNNNNNNNNNNNNNNNNNNNNNNNNNNNNNNNNNNNNNNNNNNNNNNNNNNNNNNNNNNNNNNNNNNNNNNGUUUCUACAUAAAUAGCGAUCUAAUUAUUGCCCAAGGAUAUAGUCUGUGCUACAAAAUGCUUGCUUUUUAUAUAGUUAUAUGUGAUGGGUACUCGGAUAGAUUAUCUUAAAUAAGACUCUUUCUCUGUUGACUUUUCUCAUUAUAUUGCAGUGUUUUUGGAUCAAACAACUUCUCUGGUCCUCUGCCAUCUGAGCUUGCGAAUUGUUCGAGGCUAGAAGAAAUGUAAGCGUUGUUCAUUUUGUUCUGUUUUACGUAUAUAAUCUUCAUUUCUUGUUAGUUUGUAUUUAGUAGAAGUGGUUUUUGGAAAUCUAUAUCACUUCUACAUUCAUAUAUUGAAAUGAAUUCAAUGACAGUGAUUAUGCCAUUUUGGCUUACCUACGUUCCUACUUGCAUGUUAACUGUCUUUCAGUUCUUCCCUCACUAUCAAUAAAUAAUUUGACUUUUGCAUUUUCAAAUGAAAAAGUUAUCUGAUAACAACACAGCUAAUAAAAAUAUUUUACCUUGACAGUUAUUUUGAUAGCUCUGGAGUUAGUGGUGAAAUUCCUCCUACAUUUGCUAACCUACGAAACAUGGUUACUGUGUAUGAACUGUUUGACAACUUUGACCCUGGUAAAUCUCUUUCUAGAAGAUACUGAUAAAAGAUGUUAUGUUGAUUCUUUGUGUUGGUCUCAGGUGGGCAUCAGACAAUGAACUUACAGGCAGGAUACCUGACUUCAUAGGGAAUUGGUCAAAGCUUGCGACCUUGUAUGACAAAUGACAAUUCAUAAAAUUUUUUUUAUUAAUUUUUUUGGAUUAAAGCUCAAGUUACUACUACUUUUUGGAAAUUGAAUAGAGGAGAUUUGAUANNNNNNNNNNNNNNNNNNNNNNNGCUUAUAUCAGCUACUCAUAAAUGUAACUGCAGAAGGUUUGAAGGGAACUCCUUUGAAGGUCCUAUUCCAUCAGCAUUAUCCAACCUAACUUCUUUGACAGAGCUGUGAGUACCUGCACCUUUGCAUGCUUGUAUUUAAAUGUUACACACAUAUGAUAUUAACAACCUAAGGUAAAUUCUAAAUGUAGGAGAAUAAGUGAUUUAUCAAAUGGAAGCUCUUCACUGGCAUUUCUUAAGGAUAUGAAAUCUCUAACUGUCUUGUAAGAGAAUAUAAUACUAUCUUCUUAUUCAAUGUCUUGGUGUCAUAUAUAAAUCAUUAUUUUUUCUCCCCAGUGAACUUUUAAAAGGUAAAAUGACAAUUCAGUUUAUGUUAUUCAGGGUGCUAAGGAAUGAUAAUAUAUCUGAUUCAAUUCCAUCCAGUAUUGGAGAAUACCAGAAUUUGACACAGUUGUAAGUUAUUUCUAUUGAUGAGUCAUUAGAUGUACAUGUAGUUGGCAAUAUCUUAUGUUAAACUCAGGUUGGCUAAAAUAUCUUUUUACUCAUUAGCUGAUUGUUGAUUUGGUUGCAUCACUUUUUGGAGUUGGGCGUUACAAAAUUUAUAAAUUGCUAAAGUUUAGUGAUCAAAUUUAGCAGAUUGGUUGUGCUUUUCUGAUUAGGUAAUUGAUCACUCUAAAGUAACUGCAAAUAAAUUACCCUCUUUGGGAUGGAGUAAUGGUCUGGUGUCUGGGUUAAAUUCUGAAUCUCCUGUACCAUGAUCAAUCAGUUCUCUUUUUCUGUACUCUGUAUAACUUGUUCAGCAAUUUUGUUUAUCUUUAACCUUAUGGUUGCAAUGAUUUUUUCCCUUAGAGAUUGGAGCUUCAACAAUAUAAUUGGAAGGAUACCGGAUUCACUUUUCAAUUUGAGCCGGCUCUCUUUCUUGUAAUAUACCACCUCUGCUUGAUUUUGUCAUGAUACAUCUCAAAGUGCAUUUCAAAUUGCACAUGUACUGCUCCCUGCUCCCUUCCUCCUCAGGUUGCUUGGAAAUAACAAGUUAGAAGGUCCCCUUCCUGCACAAAAAGUUUCAUCGCUCCUAAAUGUGUAUGUACAUCUCAAAUAUUCUAUCCAACAUCAUAUACUAUCUGUUUAUUUCUUGGUUGGAUUAAAUGCUUAAUGUUUUUCUCUAUGUCCCAAGUCCAGAUAGUUAAUAUUGACAUAACUAAUUCCGGACUAAGGUAUUUCAUGAAUUGGGUGAAAUACUUAUCUUUUUUUUCUUUGACAAUUUAUAAUUACAGUGAUGUUUCAUACAAUAAUUUAUCAGGGAGCCUUCCUUCCUGGGUUAAUGAUCAAAAUUUACAAGUGUAAGUUCUUAGUUCCUCUGUUCUUUACUUUUCUUAGUGAUAUUUCUGACUCAUUCUCUAUGGAGUUAUUGAUGAAAGAACUUCCACUGAAAUCUUUAAUUCUUUGUGGUUUUUGUGCAGUAAUUUAGUUGCAAACAACUUCACAAUAGAUCUUUCAAAUAGCAGGUAAUUCUUUUGGUUUUAUGUUCACCUUUGUUCUUAAAUAACUGGUACUUAGUUUCUGUCAUAAUUUCCUAUUAGUCACUUAAUCAAAUUAAUCUUUGGCUUUCAGUGGUUUGCCAUCAGGUCUGAAAUGUCUUCAACGUAACUUUCCUUGCAAUAGAGAACCUCCAAUCUGUAAGUAUAAUUAAAAUGCUCUCCUUUUUCCUACUUUUCGGAAAUAGCGCACUAAGUUUGGUAGUGAGGGUCACAGAAGAAGGGAAGGUUAAUUUACUUAAGAAUAAUGUCAUUUCAAACUGUAAACUUUUACCAUUCUUAAUUUGGCAGAAAGUAUAACCAUGAAAUUUUUUAAUCUCCUGGUUCUUGCUAAAGAAAGUAUAACCAUGAGUUUAUCACUAAAGAAAGUUUUGUUUUCAUGGGGUUAAAAAGAUGUCCCAAUAUAACAGUGAGAGGAUAAAUCUGACAGGUUCCUAUUUUCUUCUGGUGCACAGAUUCUCAGUUUGCAAUAAAGAGUGGUGGUCCACCGAUAACGUCUUCCGAUGGAAUCUUUUAUGAGAGGGAAAAUGAGACUCUUGGUGCUGCAACAUAUUAUGUUACUGGUACAAACCGAUGGGGUGUCAGUAAUGUUGGAUAUUUUACCGGAACCAACAAUCCUCUGUAUACUGCUUCCUCAUCAUCGCAAGCCACAAAUACUUUGGACCCUGAGUUAUUCCAAACGGCAAGGAUUUCUGCUUCGUCACUAAGAUACUACGGUUUGGGGCUUGAGAAUGGCAAUUACACUAUCAACCUUCAGUUUGCAGAAAUAGUAAUUGAGGAUGGUAACACAUGGAAGAGUCUUGGGCGGCGUGUUUUUGAUGUUUAUGUCCAGGUCUGUGUAUUAUAUAUGAAUUUUUUUAAGACUUCUAAUGUUGUCCUCCAAAUGGAAGAUAAUAUUGCAAUAGACUUCUAAUUUUUUUUUUUUAAUAUUAAUUCUAAGUAUUGCUCUGGGGAUUUCUUUUAAAUAACAUGAAUAUGGAGAAUAGCUAUGAAAAAUUGCUGCAUGAUUGCUUCCAGAAGGAUUUAUCUUUCACAAUUAAAUUCAAAACUAUUUUAGUGAUGCUGAUUAUCAAUGCUAUGGAGAAAUCCAACUCUUGUUUUCUUGUGGAGUCAUUAUAUUUUUACUUUUCUUUAAUUGAAGUUCCGAAGUUAUUUUAAUCCAGGGGAAUCUUGUGCUAAAGGAUUUUGACAUAAGAAAGGAGGCAGGUGGAGUCUCUAAACGAGCUGUAGAAAAGAGCUACACGGCUCGGGUGUCUGAAAAUUACCUUGAAAUCCAUUUAUUUUGGGCGGGGAAAGGGACUUGCUGCGUUCCUCUUCAGGGUACAUAUGGACCUUCUAUUUCAGCAAUCAGUUCUACCCCAGGUACUAAAACUAGAGAAUUUUAUUGAUUUUCACUAAGCCGAUACCAGGUUAUUGAGUUCUGAGCCUUUAUGCAGAUUUCACACCAACUGUUAGUAACAAGCCUCCAACUAGUAAAAAGGAUAGGACUGGUCUUAUUGUGGGAAUUGUUGUUGGCAUUGGAGUAGCAAGCUUUCUUCUUGUCUCUCUGGUUUUCUUUGUCAUUCAAAGAAGAAAAAGGCAAAGCACUUAUGAUGAUGAAGGUAAAUGAAAAUCAAGCUCCAUAUAUGGUACUACCCAUCUGGAACAUUGUGCAGUCUUCAUAUAUGUAUCAAGAGAUGCUAUUGGCCAGACAUGAUUUUAGCUUUUUAUUGGUAUUAAUUAACAUUUAAUACUGUCAAAACGAGAUUAAGUCCAGAAUGGCUCGCGAUGGCUCCAUAUAUAUAUAUAUAUAUAUAUAUAUAUAGUCCGUUGGAGAGCAAGCUUGUGCUGAUUAGAUCGGAAAUAUUUAUUAAUUCCAAUACUCUAUAUUAAUGUAUGGUUGUACAUGGUCAUAUAUGGGCCCAUCAUAAGCCCAACAAACUUGAAAAUUUAAAGCGAGAGAAAAGAAAAAUAUAUAUUUUUAUUAUUAUUUUGAUUGAAUUUUUUUUUUCAUCUUUAACAUAUAAUUAUUUAAACAUUAAAAUACUGAUUUCCACUUUUAAAAAAAUAAAGUAAAAAAGCAAUGAAAUGAAAAAAAAAAAAAAAAAAAAAAUUGGUCACCAGCAGCCCUUGACUAGGAGCAUAGAAAAUUAAUUAGGACAAAUAUUUAGUUGGACCGUACAUGUCACACAAACGUGCCUAAUUCAAAUAGUUUUUGAAGUCAAUUCAACAUUUGAGCAACAAAUUUCUCUUGGGAUUAGGUCCAAAAGGUGCAGCUAUGCAUAUGCUUGACUCGCCCACUGUGCUACCUAUAAUUAUAUCUUGGCCCAUCUCAUGACUCGGAAGCCUGACUGUUGCUUUUAUGGUCAUCAUCCCUCCGCGAUCAAAAACAAUAAAUUUGGAAUACUUUUAGUAUACAGGUUAAAUAUUUUAAUUUAUAAAAUUAAAUUAAUUAAAUAUUUAUUAAAAUAAAAAAAUAAAAAAUUAUUAUUUUAAAAUUAGAGUUAACCACACAUCAAAUCAAUUUUUUUAACAUAUAAAAUUCAGAAAAUUUAAAACGUGUAGAUAAGUGUUUUAUGAUCAAGUUUAAAUGAAUCAGAAUACAUCCACUGAUAUUAGGGAAAUGGCAAGGGCAAUUGCCUCCUUUAAAAAUUUAAAAUUUUUAUUUUUAAUAUAUUAAAUUUUUUACUUUGGUAUUUGGUCUUUUAAAAUAUUAUAAUAAAUUUAAAUAUAUAUUUUUAUUACUAAAUCUAAAUCCCGGCACAUCACUGUUAUAUUUUUAUUAUCACUCUUUGGUGUAUGAUAUGUUGUGUGAAUCAAAACACCAAGUUAACACAGAAACGUAGUCCUUUUUGUGUCGCUUGGAUACUUGUACAAGUCUCGAAGCUUGCUCUAUGCAUUUAUCCGAGGAGAGAAGGGCCACAUUUGAAUGGGCCUAGUUUAAUUGAUAAAUAAACAAUUCACUGGGCCUGAAGAAUGACCAAAUGUUGCGACAAAAAGAACAGACUUUUCUAUUAUUAAUUUGGGCUACGGGCCCAUUGAUAUAAUCCAAUUGUGUCCUUAGCAAAAUAUGCUGAAUGUAUUGAGAUACAAUGUGAAAGUUUACCCAUAAAGAUUUUUUAAUCGAAGCACUUAAAAAAAAAAAAAAACAGAAUAAAUUUAAUAUGUGCUUCGAAAUAAUAAAAAAGGAAUUCGUGAAGUGAAAAUUUUGCGGAAUUCUGACAUCAUAAAAAGAAGCUUUUUAUAGAUAAGCAGUCACGUCAUAAAUAAGAAAUCAAUAGUGCAUACAAUAAUUCUAAUUUGCACAUAUCAAUUAAAUAAAAUCUAUUACUAAAUAUUUAUCGGAGGGAGACGAUAUAGCCAAAACCUAAUGUAAGCUGCUUAAAAUAAUUUGAAAAAAAUCCAAGUGCUGCUGGUUAUACAUUUUGAUGAAGUUGAAAAAACAAAACCUUUUUUUUUCUUAUAAAAAAAUAAAAAAUUAUUAUUUUAAAAUUAGAGUUAACCACACAUCAAAUCAAUUUUUUUAACAUAUAAAAUUCAGAAAAUUUAAAACGUGUAGAUAAGUGUUUUAUGAUCAAGUUUAAAUGAAUCAGAAUACAUCCACUGAUAUUAGGGAAAUGGCAAGGGCAAUUGCCUCCUUUAAAAAUUUAAAAUUUUUAUUUUUAAUAUAUUAAAUUUUUUACUUUGGUAUUUGGUCUUUUAAAAUAUUAUAAUAAAUUUAAAUAUAUAUUUUUAUUACUAAAUCUAAAUCCCGGCACAUCACUGUUAUAUUUUUAUUAUCACUCUUUGGUGUAUGAUAUGUUGUGUGAAUCAAAACACCAAGUUAACACAGAAACGUAGUCCUUUUUGUGUCGCUUGGAUACUUGUACAAGUCUCGAAGCUUGCUCUAUGCAUUUAUCCGAGGAGAGAAGGGCCACAUUUGAAUGGGCCUAGUUUAAUUGAUAAAUAAACAAUUCACUGGGCCUGAAGAAUGACCAAAUGUUGCGACAAAAAGAACAGACUUUUCUAUUAUUAAUUUGGGCUACGGGCCCAUUGAUAUAAUCCAAUUGUGUCCUUAGCAAAAUAUGCUGAAUGUAUUGAGAUACAAUGUGAAAGUUUACCCAUAAAGAUUUUUUAAUCGAAGCACUUAAAAAAAAAAAAAAACAGAAUAAAUUUAAUAUGUGCUUCGAAAUAAUAAAAAAGGAAUUCGUGAAGUGAAAAUUUUGCGGAAUUCUGACAUCAUAAAAAGAAGCUUUUUAUAGAUAAGCAGUCACGUCAUAAAUAAGAAAUCAAUAGUGCAUACAAUAAUUCUAAUUUGCACAUAUCAAUUAAAUAAAAUCUAUUACUAAAUAUUUAUCGGAGGGAGACGAUAUAGCCAAAACCUAAUGUAAGCUGCUUAAAAUAAUUUGAAAAAAAUCCAAGUGCUGCUGGUUAUACAUUUUGAUGAAGUUGAACAACAAAACCUUUUUUUUUUUUUUUAGUUUCUCCUAAUUAAUCGUAAUUCAAUUGAAAAUCUAUAUAGUCUAAUUUAGAUUUUCAAGAUUUAAUGAGAAUUUUCAAAUUUAAAUUAUCUCGAUUACAAAUGAAAUAAUUAUUAUUAUCGUGUAACUCAUAAUAUUAUUUUAAUUUUUUUUAAAUAAUUAUUUCGGACAUUUAAUUUCUGAGCGAAUAAAAAAAUUCGAUACCGAAAACUGAAGAAUUGUAAAACGGUACAUUUUGAAAGAGUCGGAGUUUUAUUUGACGACGUCUGUCUGGCAUCCAACCAAAAAGGUUAGAAGCAGUCAUAUCCUAAUCCUAUUUAUUGCUUAUUUUGAUUUUUUUUUUUUUGGUUGACAUUUAUAUUAAUAAACGUUGAAAUUGUCCAUUGGGGAUAUUGUUGCCGACAAAAUUUGAGGUGUGCAUUAAAAAUCGCUAAAACCUUGUUUUUGUCAUUUUUUUUUUAACAACUUAGCUUAUUAAUGUAAACACACAUUUAAUUACAUUUUCUUCGCCUUUAUCCCCCUUUGUUAUUCUCAAUCUCAUUACAUGCUUUCACAAUCAACUUGUAAACUUUUAAUUAAUUAAAGAUUUUGAUUAAAUUAUUUAUAUAUAUCGGUGGGUUGAUCGUAAAUAUUUUGUAAUUUUUACAAGGAUAAUAAAUAUUUUUUAUCGGCAAAUUCAAUUUAUUGUAUUAAUAUAUCAAAAAAAUUUAACAUGUUCAAACAAAGAUAAUUAUCAGCAUUGCAUUAUUUGAGAUUUAACUUAAUUAUUCCAAAUCAUUGUAUUAGCAUCUAAAUGAAGUUAUUAUUCUGAAUAAUAUAAAGUUGAAGAUAAAAAAAAAAAAAAAUACUGGACUCGGUGUGCCCACUCUCCGCCAAUCAUCUUCCGGGAUGCUUUUCUUGCACCCGCUGAAGUUGACAAAUCGCAGCCAGUGGACUUGUCUCAAUUCCCCAUCCCAGGGGCCGCUGUCCAUUCCCCAUUGGACUUUAAGGUUUGCUUAUCUGCCACGGUCAUUGAGAGCGCGCUGUUCUCUCUGCGCUCACCAUCCAUUUUUCUAGAUAUAAAUCUAGAAUAAUAUAAAAAAAAUAUUCAAGCUUUAUUAUAUAUUCUGGAUGUGGUUUUUGUAUGUUAAGAAAAACUGUGUCUUUAUUAAUCAAGCAAUCUUGGACAGGAAACGAUCGAUCAGUACCCAUGUUUAGAGAUUCACCAUUAUCGGUUCUAGAUCUGGUAUUGGUUCUAUACUGUAUUUGCAUGAUCGGUAUAGUUCAUGCACAGAAUCAAACUCAAGCUACUACAGAUUCUAAUGAGGGUAUGAAGCUCCAUCUAUACAGCUCUCUAUCUUUUAUAUAUAUAUAUAUAAAUUCUUGUUGUUCAUGAAGAUGAUAGGUUGAUGACGUUGCUUUCUUCUUCUUCUUCUUCUUCUAGUUGUAGCUAGUUAGCAGAUGGGUAGAUAUUAGCAAAAUAGCCAAAGAUACAAACACUUCCUCUUCCAGUCACCUUUUUCUUCUAUGAAAUUAAUGGGUUUCAUGAAAUACAAAUUAAAAUUUUAUCCUAAUUUUUUGAAUUAUGCAGUGACUUUCUAAUUUGUGAAGUUGAUAACAAAGAAAUAAUCGAUGUUCUGCAAUUUUCAACACCUGAACGUAUAAGACCACAAUUUUAAAUUUUUCCCUUAGUUUGCAGAUGGUUGAAUUGAAGAGGUUUUUAAUGAACGUCUUAAAUUUUUUCAGUUUUUAAAUUUUAAUUUUAAUGCUUAAAUAUAUUUUUAUUAAUAAUUCAAUAAAUCAUAAAUCAUAUCAUAGGUAUAUAUAUAUAUAUUCCAUCUCUCUUUUUUUUUUUCAUUUUUAAAAAUUUUUAUUAUCGUAUAAAUUUAAAAAAAAAAUCUGAAAAAUUUCAUAAUAAAAAUUUCUUCAUAUUCUAAAAAUAAAAUUAUAAAAAAAAGAGAGAAACGUGAGGAAAUCAAUAAAUGAAUAUUAGAGUAGAGAGGAACAACUUAUUUUGAUAAUUGAUGUUUCAAUACCAAAUUUUUAUUGAACAUGAUCAAUUUUUUUUUUUAAAUUAUAUGUUAUUUUAGACACUUAAUAAAAUUAAGAACUGAAAUAAAAAAAUUUUAAAAAUAUGUUUCUUGAACUGACAAGCUACGUUCGUAUUCUCUCCUCCUCCACCGCAUAUUCUUUUCAUCGAUGUAAUUAAUAAAUUUAGAAAUUUUGUUAUUAUAAUUAUUAUCUAAAAGGAUAGUAAUAGGUUAAAUUUGUCAUUUACAUAUUACUAUCAGGUAGUGUCUGAUAAUGACUUUUUCUAAUAAAUAGUACUAUUAAUUUUUUAAAAGUCAAAAGAUAUAAUAAUUACUUUUGAAUUUUUUAAAUUUUGACUUUUUCAAAAAUAAAAAAUGUCUCGCAGCUAGUACACCAAUAAAAAUGCAGGCGAAAAUUGCUAUUUUUCGCAAGUGGUGGGUGUUAUUACGAUUUACCGCAUAGUCAAAAAGAUAGACGGCGGCAUAUGAUACUGUAAUUGAAUAAUUCAAAACUGUUUUUUCUUUUUUCUUUUAAAAAUUUAAGUAUCCAAAUUUGAAUUAAAAAAUGAUUUUAAUCUGAUGAAUGCAAAUUCAUGAAUUUUAUAGUGUGGUUAAUUUUCAUCAAAUUGCGAAAACUCUUGUCAAAAAACUCAGAAAUCAAUUGGCUUCUUCGGUUAAUUUUCGAAGUCAUAAUAGAAACCAAAAUGUAAUCGCCUGUAAAUUGUAAUGAAUUCACUUUGACAUGAUCAUGACUUUUGUAAAAUUGAUAUAUUGCAGCUAGCGCAUUAAAUUCCAUCUUUCGAAAAUGGGGAAUCCAAGCUGAUCAAAACCAGUGGAAUAUAAGCGGAGAACUAUGCAGUGGAGGAGCACUCGGUUCAUCACCCGCUAUCGACGCCUACAACCCUUUUAUCAAAUGCGAUUGCUCUGCCAAUAAUGGCACCACUUGCCACAUUACUGCGCUGUACGUUUUCUCACAAUCAACCUUUUAUGUUUAUUUUGUUGGUCUUUUAACAUUUUCCUUUGCGGAGGUAUCAUAUCUGUUUGAUUUUAUGCCUCGCUCAGUAGUGAACGGCUUGAUUUUAGUGUUAUAAUUAAUCUUCGCUCAUUCUUGAAAUGGUUUGUAGGAGAGUUUAUGCAAUCGAUGUUGUGGGUGUAAUGCCAGAUGACCUGUGGACUUUGACUUUCCUCACCAAUUUGUAUGGUUUCUUACUCUGGGUAUAUUUAUUAAAGUCGUACACUUCCGCAUUGCUUUCUUCUUUCACAUGGAAUGAAAGUUUAAGCUUUUAGCAUCCUAAGCCUUAACCAAAUAAAUGCAUAUGCUUUGUUCCUUUUCGACCCUCGUCAACCCGCUAGUGUACUGAACUCGUUUUCAGGGAUUUGCGUCAGAAUUACUUGACUGGUAACCUCUCUCCAUCCAUUGGCAAUUUAACUCGCAUGCAAUACCUGUAAGCUGAUCUAAAUUUCUCUACUUUUACUCAUAGGAAAUGCCAUUAUAUACUGCUUCUUGUUUUCUGACGUUAAAUUAAUACUUUGAUCAGGACCGUUGGCAUUAACUCCCUGUCGGGUGAACUUCCUAAGGAACUUGGAUUGCUCACUGAUUUACGAUCACUGUAAGUUUAGUUAGCUGGGAACUUGAUGAGUUUGUUAUUCAACUGAUGAGGACACGAGGACAGCGAUCUAUUUUUUUUUUCUUUUCAAUAUGAUUAUUAGCGUAAUGCUUUUGGUUAAGUGUUUCUACAUAAAUAGCGAUCUAAUUAUUGCCCAAGGAUAUAGUCUGUGCUACAAAUUGCUUGCUUUGUACAUAGUUAUAUGUGAUGGGUACUCGGAUAGAUUAUCUUAAAUAAGACUCUUUCUCUGUUGACUUUUCUCAUUAUAUUGCAGUGGUUUUGGAUCAAACAACUUCUCUGGUCCUCUGCCAUCUGAGCUUGGGAAUUGUUCGAGGCUAGAACAAAUGUAAGAGUUGUUCAUUUUGUUCUGUUUUAAGUAUAUAAUGUUCAUUUCUUGUUAGUUUGUAUUUAGUAGAAGUGGUUUUUGGAAAUCUAUAUCAAUUCUACAUUCAUAUAUUGAAAUGAAUUCAAUGACAGUGAUUAUGCCAUUUUGGCUUACCUACGUUCCUACUUGCAUGUUAACUGUUUUUCAGUUCUUCCCUCACUAUCUAUAAAUAAUUUGACUUUUGCAUUUUCAAAUGAAAAAGUUAUCUGAUAACAACACAGCUUAAAAAUAUUUUACCUUGACAGUUAUUUUGGUAGCUCUGGAGUUAGUGGUGAAAUUCCUCCUACAUUUGCUAACCUACGAAACAUGGUUACUGUGUAAGAACUGUUUGACAACUUUGACCCUGGUAAAUCUCUUUCUAGAAGAUACUGAUAAAAUAUGUUAUGUUGAUUCUUUGUGUUGGUCUCAGGUGGGCAUCAGACACUGAACUUACAGGCAGGAUACCUGAUUUCAUAGGGAAUUGGUCAAAGCUUGUGACCUUGUAUGACAAAUGACAAUUCAUAAAAUUUUUUUUAUUAAUUUUCUUGGAUUAAAGCUCAAGUUAUUACUACUUUUUGGAAAUUGAAUAGAGGAGAUUUGAUAAUUUUGUGUUGCUGCUUAAAUGCCAAAGCCGUAUGCUUAUAUCAGCUAUUCAUAAAUGUAACUGCAGAAGGUUUGAAGGGAACUCCUUUGAAGGUCCUAUUCCAUCAGCAUUAUCCAACCUAACUUCUUUGACAGAGCUGUGAGUACCUGCACCUUUGCAUGCUUGUGUUUAUAUGUUACUCACAUAUGAUAUUAAUAACCUAAGGUAAAUUCUAAAUGUAGGAGAAUAAGUGAUUUAUCAAAUGGAAGCUCUUCACUGGCAUUUCUUAAGGAUAUGAAAUCUCUAACUGUCUUGUAAGAGAAUAUAAUACUAUCUUCUUAUUCAAUGUCUUGGUGUCAUAUAUAAAUCAUUAUUUUUUCUCCCCAGUGAACUUUUAAAAGGUAAAAUGACAAUUCAGUUUAUGUUAUUCAGGGUGCUAAGGAAUGAUAAUAUAUCUGAUUCAAUUCCAUCCAGUAUUGGAGAAUACCAGAAUUUGACACAGUUGUAAGUUAUUUCUAUUGAUGAGUCAUUAGAUGUACAAGUAGUUGGCAAUAUCUUAUGUUGAACUCAGGUUGGCUAAAAUAUCUUUUUACUCAUUAGCUGAUUGUUGAUUGUAUCACUUUCUGGAGUUGGGUGUUACAAAAUUUAUAAAUUGCUAAAGUUUAGUGAUCAAAUUUAGCAGAUUGGUUGUGCUUUUCUGAUUAGGCAAUUGAUCACUCUAAAGUAAAUGCAAAUAAAUUACCCUCUUUGGGAUGGAGUAAUGGUCUGGUGUCUGGGUUAAAUUCUGAAUCUCCUGUACCAUGAUCAAUCAGUUCUUUUUUUCUGUACUGUGUAUAACUUGUUCAGCAAUUUUGUUUAUCUUUAACUUUAUGGUUGCAAUGAUUUUUUUCCUUAGAGAUUGGAGCUUCAACAAUAUAAUUGGAAGGAUACCGGAUUCACUUUUCAAUUUGAGCCAGCUCUCUUUCUUGUAAUAUACCAUCUCUGCUUGAUUUUAUCAUGAUACAUCUCAAUGUGCAUUUCAAAUUGAACAUAUACUGCUCCCUUCCUCCUCAGGUUUCUUGGAAAUAACAAGUUGGAAGGUCCCCUUCCUGCACAAAAAGUUUCAUCGCUCCUAAAUGUGUAUGUACAUCUCAAAUAUUCUAUCCAAUAUCAAAUACUAUCUGUUUAUUUCCUGGUUGGAUUAUAUGCUUAAUGUUUUUCUCUAUGUCCCAAGUCCAAAUAGUUAAUAUUGACAUAACUAAUUCCGGACUAAGGUAUUUCAUGAAUUGGGUGAAAUACUUAUCUUUUUUUUCUUUGACAAUUUAUAAUUACAGUGAUGUUUCAUACAAUAAUUUAUCAGGGAGCCUUCCUUCCUGGGUUAAUGAUCAAAAUUUACAAGUGUAAGUUCUUAGUUCCUCUGUUCUUUACUUUUCUUAGUGAUAUUUCUGACUCAUUCUCUAUGGAGUUAUUGAACUUCCACUGAAAUCUUUAUUUCUUUGUGGUGUUUGUGCAGUAAUUUAGUUGCAAACAACUUCACAAUAGAUCUUUCAAAUAGCAGGUAAUUCUUUUGGUUCUAUGUUCACCUUCGUGCUUAAAUAACUGGUACUUAGUGUCUGUCUUAAUUUCCUAUUAGUCACUUAAUCAAAUUUAUCUUUUGCUUUCAGUGGUUUGCCAUCAGGUCUGAAAUGUCUUCAACGUAACUUUCCUUGCAAUAGAGAACCUCCAAUCUGUAAGUAUAAUUAAAAUGCUCUCCUUUUUCCUACUUUUCGGAAAUAGCGCACUAAGUUUGGUAGUGAGGGUCACAGAAGAAGGGAAGGUUAAUUUACUUAAGAAUAAUGUCAUUUCAAACUGUAAACUUUUNNNNNNNNNNNNNNNNNNNNNNNNNNNNNNNNNNNNNNNNNNNNNNNNNNNNNNNNNNNNNNNNNNNNNNNNNNNNNNNNNNNNNNNNNNNNNNNNNNNNNNNNNNNNNNNNNNNNNNNNNNNNNNNNNNNNNNNNNNNNNNNNNNNNNNNNNNNNNNNNNNNNNNNNNNNNNNNNNNNNNNNNNNNNNNNNNNNNNNNNNNNNNNNNNNNNNNNNNNNNNNNNNNNNNNNNNNNNNNNNNNNNNNNNNNNNNNNNNNNNNNNNNNNNNNNNNNNNNNNNNNNNNNNNNNNNNNNNNNNNNNNNNNNNNNNNNNNNNNNNNNNNNNNNNNNNNNNNNNNNNNNNNNNNNNNNNNNNNNNNNNNNNNNNNNNNNNNNNNNNUCAUCAUCGCAAUCCACAAAUACUUUGGACCCUGAGUUAUUCCAAACGGCAAGGAUUUCUGCUUCGUCACUAAGAUACUACGGUUUGGGGCUUGAGAAUGGCAAUUACACUAUCAACCUUCAGUUUGCAGAAAUAGUAAUUGAGGAUGGUAACACAUGGAAGAGUCUUGGGCGGCGUGUUUUUGAUGUUUAUGUCCAGGUCUGUGUAUUAUAUAUGAAUUUUUUUUAAGACUUCUAAUGUUGUCCUCCAAAUGGAAGAUAAUAUUGCAAUAGACUUCUAAUUUUUUUUUUUUAAUAUUAAUUCUAAGUAUUGCUCUGGGGAUUUCUUUUAAAUAACAUGAAUGUGGAGAAUAGCUAUAAAAAUUGCUGCAUGAUUGCUUCCAGAAGGAUUUAUCUUUCACAAUUAAAUUCAAAACUAUUUUAGUGAUGCUGAUUAUCAAUGCUAUGGAGAAAUCCAACUCUUGUUUUCUUGUGGAGUCAUUAUAUUUUUACUUUUCUUUAAUUGAAGUUCCGAAGUUAUUUUAAUCCAGGGGAAUCUUGUGGUAAAGGAUUUUGACAUAAGAAAGGAGGCAGGUGGAGUCUCAAAACGAGCUGUAGAAAGGAGCUACAAGGCUCGGGUGUCUGAAAAUUACCUUGACAUCCAUUUAUUUUGGGCGGGGAAAGGGACUUGCUGCAUUCCUUUUCAGGGUACAUAUGGACCUUCUAUUUCAGCAAUCAGUGCUACCCCAGGUACUAAAACUAGAGAAUUUUAUUGAUUUUCACUACGCCGAUACCAGGUUGUUGAGUUCUGAGCCUUUAUGCAGAUUUCAUACCAACUGUUAGUAACAAGCCUCCAACUAGUAAAAAGGAUAGGACUGGUCUUAUUGUGGGAAUUGUUGUUGGCAUUGGAGUAGCAAGCUUUCUUCUUGUCUCUCUGGUUUUCUUUGUCAUUCAAAGAAGAAAAAGGCAAAGCACUUAUGAUGAUGAAGGUAAAUGAAAAUCAAGCUCCAUAUAUGGUACUACCCAUCUGGAAAAUUGUGUAGUCUUCAUAUAUGUAUCAAGAGAUGCUAUUGGCCAGACAUGAUUUUAGCUUUUUAUUGGUAUUAAUUAACAUUUAAGGAACAUAUUAUGUCAAACACAAAAUGAAGAUUUACUGACUUUCCCUAUUCCACAUUGAGAUUUACUGGAGUCUUUCUGCUUAAUAUAUUACAGUAACAACUAGACAAGUAGUUUUUCGAAUGACCCAUCUUUGUGUUGAAAUUGCAGAGCUCCUAGGUAUAGGUGCUAGGCCAUACACUUUCAGUUACACUGAACUGAAGACAGCUACAGAAGACUUCAGCCCUGCCAAUAAGCUUGGAGAGGGAGGAUUUGGACCUGUGUAUAAGGUCUGCAACUAUUUGACUCAAGGAUAUUUCAAACUGAUAGUCUUUCAUUUCCAUCUAAUAUUUCUUCUGUGUGCAAUCGUUUGGAAUAAAUUGAGGCCAGUUAUUAACUAGACUAUGAACAUGCUACCUUCGGUCAACUGUAAACAAAGUAUCUGAUAUAUGUUAAUUUUGGUCCUCAAGAUCUUCUGACCACAUGUUCUUUUUUGUCACUUGUAUAGCUGGGCGUUCUGAGGUUGAGCCUUGAUGGUUACUUGUCAUGGGCUCAAACUAUAUGAAUAGCCUCACAAUGCUAGGGGAUGGCUGCAUGCAUUUGACUCAAUGCAUGACGCCUUGUGCACUGGGAUGCCUUCCUUCAUGGUUGAGCUGUCUAACUUGCAGGAAAUAUAAAAUAUGCAGAUGCUUAUUUUCUGAACUCACUCCACACAGAACUUGCAUCUUCUGUCCCCAAUGGAUUGAGAAUCUAAAAGAGUUGUAUUUUUCAUUUUUUUUAAGUUCAGGGUGUAUCUUCCUUUUUUCUUUUUUCUUCUUGUCCUUAUCUGAAUUUUGUUCUCAAAUAGGGAGUACUUAAUGAUGGGAGAGUGAUUGCUGUGAAGCAACUUUCUGUGGCAUCCCACCAAGGAAAGAGCCAGUUUGUAACAGAGAUUGCUACUAUAUCUGCCGUGCAACACCGCAACCUUGUGAAAUUGUAUGGGUGCUGCAUUGAAGGGUAUAAUAGGCUACUUGUUUACGAGUAUCUCGAGAACAAGAGUCUUGAUCAAGCACUAUUUGGUACGAUAUUUUAUUAUAAAUUCACAUAAGCAAACUCUUGUCACAGAGACCUUGGUGGAAAUAUAGUUUAAUUACACGCGGAUUGUAUGUUACAGGAGAAACAAGUUUAUAUCUCAACUGGCCUACACGUUGUGAAAUAUGCUUGGGAGUGGCCAGAGGUCUAGCUUAUCUUCAUGAGGAGUCGAGGCUUCGGAUUGUGCAUAGAGAUGUGAAGGCAAGCAAUAUUCUGCUUGAUUCUGAGCUCAUCCCCAAAAUUUCAGAUUUUGGUUUGGCCAAACUUUAUGAUGAUAAGAAGACCCAUAUAAGCACCCGUGUCGCAGGAACAAUGUAAGAUCCAGUGAUUAUUCUUUCUGACUUAAUUAAUCUCCAAUUUAAUCAUUUCUUGAAAAAAAUAAAUCGUGUGAGCGGAGUAAUUUUAUAGUGACAUCAUCAUUUCUACUGUAGUGGGUAUCUUGCACCUGAAUAUGCUAUGCGUGGACACCUUACAGAAAAGGCUGACGUCUUUGCAUUUGGUGUGGUGGCUCUGGAAGUCGUAAGUGGGAGGCUAAAUUCAGACUCAAGCCUGGAAGAAGAAAAGAUUUAUCUUCUCGAAUGGGUAUGAUAUAAAAGAUGCAUUCCUUCGAAUGGAACUCUUUUUUUCCCUUUAUUGGAAAAUUUCAAUUGCCUUUACCAUAUGUCCAAUCUUAGCUAUUAAGAAGAAUUAGUGCAUUCAUAUAUUUUAAUUAUGCAAAAAGUUGAAACAUCAUUAAGGUUGGAUGCAAAUUAAUUGUGAAAGUUUCAAUUUUUCACUUAAAAUAAAAUUAAAAAGACCCAGUAUUUUCUUAUAUUCUUUUAGAAUCAGUGAAGGAAGUUCAAAAAUUUCUUUCAAUUAUUGAGCAGAGUUAUAAUAACUUUGAAUAAUUUAUACAUCUAUUGCUUUGAAUGUUGUCCAUUAAUGGAACUUGUAACGUUUUUGACUUUUAGGCCUGGCACCUGCAUGAAAACAAUCGUGAAGCAGAACUAGUAGACUCUAGAUUAUCAGAAUUCAGUGAGGAGGAAGUAAAACGCUUAAUAGGAGUAGCUCUUUUGUGCACUCAAACUUCACCAAAUCUUCGGCCACCAAUGUCACGCGUAGUGGCUAUGCUAACUGGUGAUAUUGAAGUGAGCUCUGUAACUAACAGACCUGGAUAUUUGACUGACUGGAAAUUUGAUGACACAAGCAACUUCAUGGAUGAUAAUGGAGGCAGAGGAAUUGAUAACAGUUAUUACAGUUCAUCUACAAGUGCAAGCAUGGUGACCGACGCAGAGCAUACACAUAUAAGUGCCGCCAAACCCAUGCUUUCGUAGAUCAUUGGAGAGGGUAGAUAAAGAAACCUUCUUUUCUAUUUCCUUCUUUUUCUAAAUGCUCAUGCAUCUAAUUGUAGAAGUGAGCUUUGCUAUUUUAAUUUUGUUUUUCCCUGAUGCAAUUAAAUGGAUAUCAAAUUUUUGUUUAAUUUUUAGCCACUAAAAAAAAAAAAAAAAAUCCAGGAUUAAUAAAUUAGUACCGGUACAUACUCCAGAAGAAAAUGGCUAAUUUUCUUAUAUAAAGGAAAAAAUAUUUCCAUUUAAUUGCAGGAAAUUUAGACAAAAUUAUUGGCCUUGAUAUUUCUUAAAUUCACAGAUUAUUCUUUUUAUUACUUUGCAUCAAAAUUAAACUUUAGCAGUCCUAAACAGCCAAAAGAAACCAAAAGUAUUAAUUAAAUAGUUGUUAAAUCAUAAUUUUUUUCUUCAUGCAAUCGCUGCUUUUGUGCAAUAAACAGUAAACAGGCAAAUAUGAAAUACAAAUCAAAUUUAAGAACAUCAAACUUCUAAAUCACACUUAUUUCAUGAUUCCUCCACCAUAAAAUUCCGCAAAUUACAAUAGCAGAACAGAAUAUUCUGCACAAUCGGUUGCUACCCAAGACAAUAGCAGCAACAAAGAAUUUUUGCCAUCAAAUUCAAAACCCCAUAACCCAACCUAACUGCACAAAAUGAUCCUUGUCAAUCCCAGAACUAAACAUGACACCGUAAAGAAAAACAGAGUAACAAAAUCCCUUGCGGACCAUUUCCUUACCACCUUCGUCUCCACGCGCAAACUCUUAGCUCUUCUAAGCGCAUCAACUUCCUUUAAAAGAUCAAAUUCUAUUCCCUUCUUCUUCAACUCUUCUACACACUUGGCCAAUAACUUCCCAUCUUCUUUCUCUCUCUCCAACAACUUCUCCAUAUGGCAUUCUACAUCUGUUUUAUAUCGAACUGCCCAGAUUAUCCCCAAAGAACACAAAAGAGAACACAAUGAUGGGAUCCAUGAUCUCUUACAGUAGGACCCACUUCCAGGUGGGUCUCUAGAAGAGGCAUUGAAUAGUAUUUCUUUCCUUCUUUCACCAUUAAAUCAGGAUGCAUAUAUUUUUUAUAAGGAUAAUAAAUAUUUUUUAUCGGCAAAUUCAAUUUAUUUUAUUAAUAUAUCAAAAAAAUUUAACAUGUUCAAACAAAGAUAAUUAUCAGCAUUGCAUUAUUUGAGAUUUAACUUAAUUAUUCCAAAUCAUUGUAUUAGCAUCUAAAUGAAGUUAUUACUCUUGAAUAAUAUAAAGUUGAAGAUAAAAAAAUAACAUACUGCAGUUGGUGUGCCCACUCGCCGCCAAUCAUCUCCCGGGAUGCUUUUCUUUUCUUACACCUGCUGAAGUUGACAAAUCGAAGCUGUGGACUUUGUCUCAAUUCGUAAAUCCCAGGGGCCGCUGUCCAUUCCCCAUUAGACUUUAAGGUUUGCUUAUCUGCCACGGUCGAUGAGAGCGCGCUGUUCUCUCUGUGCUCACCAUCCAUUUUUUCUAGAUAUAAAUCUAGAAUAAUAUAAAAAAAAAAAAAUCAAGCUUUAUUAUAUAUUCUGGAUGUGGUUUUUGUAUGUUAAGAAAAACAGUGUCUUUAUUAAUCAAGCAAUCCUGGACAGGAAACGAUUGAUCAAUACCCAUGGUUAGAUAUUCACCAUUGUCGGUUCUAGUUCUGGUAUUGGUUCUAUACUGUAUUUGCAUGAUCGGUAUAGUUCAUGCACAGAUUCUAACGAAGGUAAGAAGCUCCAUCUAUACAGCUCUCUAUCUUAUAUAUAUAUAUAUAUUCUUGUUGUUCAUGAAGAUGACAUGUCACACAAACGUGCCUAAUUCAUAUAGUUUUUUGAAGUCAAUUCAAUAUUUGAGCAGCAAAUUUCUCUUGGCAUUAGGUCCAAGAGGUUCAGCUAUGCUUGACUCACCCACUGUACUACCGAUACUUAUAUCUUGGCCCAUCUCAUGACUCGUAAGCCUUGACUCUUGCUUUUAUCGUCAUCAUCCCUCCACAAUCAAAUACAAUAAAUUCCGAAUACUUUCUAUUUAUAAAAUUAUAUAUAUUAAACACUUUAAUUUAAAAAUUAAAUUAAUUAAAUAUUUAUUAAAAUAGAUAAUAAAUAUGAAAAUUAUUAUUUUAAAAUUUAUGUUAACCACUCAUCAAUUUAAUUUUUUUAGCAUAUAAAAUUCAAAAAAUUUAAAAAUUAUUAUUGUUUGUGUAGAAAUAUAUCUUUGUUAUCAAAAUUUAUAAUUUAAAAAACGGGAUAAAUCCCUCUCGAAAUUAAAAGUACCACUAGGUUACCAUUACAAUGAUCGAAAGGAUUGGCCCUCAAUAUUUAUAUUUCUAUUUUUUUUUCAAUAAUUGUGGUUGAAUAGUAUUUCUUUCCCUCUUUCACCAUUAAAUCAGGAUGCAUAUAUUUGAUGUUAACAAAAGUUUGAUUUAUCUACAUAUUUUAAAUUUGUCCAUACUUCUUUUUUAUUACAAGACUAAUUUUGGAUCAUGUAAAAGCUAUGAUACGAUAAAAGAUUGCACAUAAAUAUAUUAUAUAUCAACUUGAAAUGACAUUGGCAUCAUCUUCUGUAAGUUAAACUUAUUUUACACGGUAGAAUAAAAAAUAGACUGCUGUAAUUAUCAUUUCAUUUUCAUUUUUUAGAAAAUUGGAUCAUUUCAUCCAAUCUCAGACAUCUUUUUCUAUUUCCAUUGGAAGUUCUUAUCAAUUUUAGUCAAACAAAAAGAACAGACUUUUCUAUUAUUAAUUUGGGCUACGGGUCCAUUGAUUAAUCCAAUUGUGUCCUUAGCAAAAUAUGCUAAAUAUUAUAGAAAGUGUUUUAUUAUGAUUAUUUAUUUUUCAGAUACAAUGUUAUAAAAAUGUGAAAGUUUACCCAUAAAGAUUUUUUUAAUGGAAGCACUUAAAAGAAAAAGAAUAAAUUUAAUAUGUGCUUCGAUAUAUAUAUAUAUAUAUAUAUAUAUAAAGGGAAUUCGUGAAGUUAAAAUUUUGCAGAAUCCUAACAUCAUAAAAAGAAGCCUUUUACAGAUAAGAAGUGCAUAUAAUAACAUCAUAAAAAAAUUAUUGGUGUACUACAUUUUUAUUGGUUAAAUUUGUCAUUUAUAUAUUACUAUCAGAUAAGAAGCCUUUUGCAGAAUCCUAACAUCAUAAAAGAGAUGUUUGUGUUAAAGAAAUGGAGAGGUGGGGGUCGGUAGUUUAAUAAAAAAUUUUGGAAGCAAAAAAGGAUAAUAAAGCAACGUAUAAAAGAGGCAAGAGAUAGGUUUGAUGAUAUCAAUGUUCAAAAAUUAAAAAAAUGAAUGGAAUACUAUUCUAUUCAAAGAAGAGUGCCAAAUGAGACAAAUAGGGAAACAGAGAUGGUUUUCUUGUGGAGAUCAAAACUCCAAAUAUUUCCAGGCUUCAAUAAAGACUAGAAAAAAGAGAACUAAAAUUAUGAAGUUGGAAAAUGAGGAUGGCGAGAUACUUACAGAUAAUGACAGUUUGGAACAACUUACAUUGAAUUAUUUUUCUACUGUUUAUAGUGCAGAAGAAUCAGUUUGCAUUCAAAUUUUUAAUCUUGUUCAACCAAAGGUGACAGAUAUCCAGAACAAUAUUCAUACGGCUCCAUUUACGUUGGAUGAGAUCAGAGAAGCUGCAUUUGAUAUGCAACCUGACAAAUCACCUGGACCGGAUGGCCUAAAUCCGGCAUUCUUUCAAAAAUUUUGGCAUGUGAUUGGAGAUGAUAUUUGGAGGGACUGCAAACAAUGGCUUGACACAGGUACCUUCCCAAAAACUUUGACAGAUACCCAUAUUGUGUUGCUUCCUAAAUGUGAUAAUCCUAUGUCGUUAAAAGAGUAUAGACCUAUUUCGCUUUGUAAUGUUUUUGUAUAAAAUUGUAGCAAAAUCUCUAGCGAAUAGGUUGAAAAAAAUUCUUCCUUUAAUUAUUGAUGGAUGUCAAUCUGCUUUUGUUCCCGGGAGGUUAAUUUCUGAUAAUGUGGCGGUGGCUUUUGAAUUAAUUCACAACAUUAAAAGUAGGAAGAAUCAAGGGGGUGCUUGUGCUUUAAAAAUUGAUAUUUCGAAAGCAUACGACAGGGUUAAUUGGGAGUUUUUAAGGGGUAUGAUGCUGAGAAUGGGUUUUUGUGAGAAGUGGGUGAAGUGGAUGAUGUUAUGUGUCACUGAUGUGAAGUACUCUGUGUUAUUGAAUGGUAAGGAGGUGGGCCCUAUUCGUCCUGAUAGAGGUUUGAGACAUGGCGAUCCUUUGUCGCCUUGUUUUUAUUCUGUGCGGAGGGUUUGUCUUUAUUAUUUCAGGAUGCUAAAAGGAGAGGUAGAUUGCAAGGUGUGAAGAUGGGAAGGAAUUGUCCGAGCAUUACACACUUGCUAUUUGCGGAUGAUUCUUUUUUCUUUUUUGAGGGUUCUUUACAGGAAGCAGAGGAGGUCAAUGAUAUUUUGAAGAAAUAUGAGAGAGCAUCGGGUUAGGCCAUUAAUUUGAACAAAUCGGUAUCUUGUUUAGCCCGAAUAUGAGUAGAGAAUUGAUGACUAAUAUCUCUACUAUUUUGAAUGUUGCUGGUUCAAUUGGUGGGGGCACUUAUCUUGGUCUUCCAUCUCUCAUUGGCAAAUCGAAAAAACAGGUGUUUGGCUUCCUUCAGGACAGACUUGAAAAAAGGAUUGGCAAUUGGUCUAACAGAUUCCUCUCUAGAGCCGGAAAGGAGAUAUUAAUUAAGUCGAUUGUGCAAGCUAUUCCUUCUUACUGUAUGAGUGUGUUUAAAAUACCUCUUUCUACAUAUGAAGCGCUGCAAAAAAGGAUGAACAAGUAUUGGUGGGGUUAGAAGGAAGAAGGGCGUAGAGGGAUUCAUUGGUUAGCGUGGGAGAGGAUGUGUUGUAGUAAAAGGGAAGGUGGUAUGGGUUUUAGGGAUCUUCAUUGUUUUAAUAUGGCCAUGCUAGCUAAGCAAGGGUGGCGUCUUAUGACGGAGCCCGAUACUCUUUUUUCUAAACUUUUCAAAGCCAAAUAUUUCCAUAAUAUGGAUUUUUUGGAUGCUCCUCUUGGUAGGCGUCCUAGUUAUGUGUGGAGGAGUAUUCAUGCUGCUAUUGGGGUAUUAAAAUAGGGGGGUACGAUGGAGAGUAGGGAAUGCGGAAACUAUCGGUGUAUUAUCACAUCCAUGGAUGCCUUUGGAUUAUAGUUUUUGGGUGGAGGAUAGUAGGGACUUUGUUGAUCCUAAUAUGAAAGUGAGGGAGCUUUUUGUGGAGGGGAAAGGGAGAUGGGAUGUGGGGAAGGUGAUGACUCUUUUUAGCUUGAGAGAGUUUAGAGCUAUAUUAGGGAUUCCUAUUAGUAUUAACGCUAAUAGGGACCAAAUUAUGUGGCAUUGGGAUAAAAAAGGCAUUUAUAGCGUUAGGUCGGGGUACUACGUGGCAAGGAGGUUAUGUGGAUAGAGGAUGCAUGAGGUAGAAGGUGGAUGGUGGGGUAAGAUGUGGGGUUUAGAUGCUUCCCCUAAAGACAAAGAUUUUAUGUGGAGGACUCUAAGGAAUGUGUUGCCUACGAAGGAGAGAUUGAAAAGGAGAGGGGUGGAGAUUGAUAUUGGGUGUCCUUGAUGUGGGGAGGAAGAGGAUAUUAAUCAUGCAAUAGUGUCAUGUAGUAAGGCUAAGGGAGUUUGGAGGCAAGGAGGGUAUGAAGUAGGUGAUGUAAAUAUUUCUUUUACUAACUUCUUUUUGCAGGUACUUGUUAAUGGUGAUAAACUAAAAUCCCAAAAGUUUUUGGUGUAUGCUAGAUAUAUUUGGAUGGCAAGAAAUAAUGCUCUUUGGAACAGUAUAAGAGACAUGUGCUACACUACAUUCUUGAAGGCAAAAGAAUACAUGAUUAGUUGGGAACAUACAAAGUUGGCGCAAAGGAGCAUGGCUAGUGCAUCCUCAAAUACAAGUCGGCAGCGGCUUGCAAUAUUUCCACCUGGACAUCUUAGCAACAGUGGAGACCAAUCAUGGCAAGCUUUUGUGGAUGGUUCUAUUUUUGAGCAAGAAGGCAUGCAAGGAUUUGGAGCGGUGAUGGAGACAGAGGAAGGCAUUUUUAUUCGAGCAGUUUCAGGCCACGUUACAGGUGGUACGAACUCUUUUAUUGCGGAGGCUCUAGCUCUUCGUAGUUUUUUAUUAUUUCUCAAGCAAAAUUAUGUUGAGCAUGGAGGUAAUAUUUUCAUAGACUCGCAGGGUUUUUUUUUUGCUUUGGUUCAGAUCGGAUGUGGGGAGUAUUAUUUAUGAUUGUAAAAACUUAUUUUUAGAACUCCCUUUGGUUUCGUGUAGAUGGAUUCGUAGGCAAGCGAACUUAAAGGCUCAUAUCCUAACUCGAGCUUUUAUUCGCUUUGCGCAUCUACGUAUCUGGAAUUAUAUUCCUCAUUGUUUGUCCGAGAUUUAUGAUAAUGAAUGAAAUGAUAUGAGUUUUACUCUUUCAAAAAAAAAAAAAAAAAAAAAAAAAACCUAUUACUAAAUAUUUAUCUUAGGGAAACGAUAUAGUCAAAGCUUUUUUUCUUUUCCCCUAAUUAAUCGUAAUUCAAUUGAAAAUCUGUAUAAUCUGUUUAGAUUUUCAGAAUUUAAUGACAAUUUUUAAAUUCUAAUUCUCUAGAUUAUAUAAACGAAAAAAAUAUUUUUAUUGUGUAGCUUAUAAUAUUAUUAAAUUUUUUUUUAAAUAAUUAUUUCAUAAUUUAACGUCGGAAGGAAUAAAAAAUUCAAUACCGAACGCUAAGGAAUUGUAAAACGGUACAUUUUUCGGAGUUUUAUUUGACGGCGUCUCUCUGGCAUCCAACCAAAAAGUUUAGAAGCAGUCAUCUCCUUUUUUGUUUUUUUGAAAACAUAUCCUAAUCCUAUUUAUUGCUUAUUUUGAUUUUUUUUUUUUGAGGUUGACAUUUAUAUUAAUAAACGUUGAUAUUUUUCCCUUGCGGAUAUUGUAUUUGUAGCCGACAAAAGUUGAGGUGUCUAUUAAAAGUUGCUAAAACCUUGUUUUUGUCAUUUUUUUAAUAACUUAGCUUAUUAAUUUAAACACACAUUUAAUUACAUUUUCUUCACCUUUGCUAUUCUCAAUCUCAUUACAUGCUUUCACAAUCAACUUGUAAACUUUUAAUUAAUUAUAGAUUUUGAUUAAAUUAUUUACAUAUAUCGGUGGGUUGAUCAUAAAUAUUUUGUAAUUUUUAUAAAGAUAAUAAGUAUUUUUUAUGAGCAAAUUCAAUUUAUUUUAUUAAUAUAUCAAAAAAAUUUAACAUGUUCAAACAAAGAUAAUUAUGAGCAUUGCAUUAUUUGAGAUUUAACUUAAUUAUUCCAAAUCAUUGUAUUAUCAUCUAAAUGAAGUUAUUAUUCUUGAAUAAUAGAAAGUUGAAGAUAAAAAAAAAUAUAUACUGGACUUGGUGUGCGCACUCGCCACCAAUCAUCUUGCGGAAUGCUUUUCUUACACUUGCUGAAGUUGACAAAUCGCAGCUGGUGGACUUUUCUCAAUUCGUAAGUCCCAGUGGCCGCUGUCAAUUCCCCAAUAGACUUUAAGGUUCGGUUAUCUGCCACGGUCAACGACAGCGCGUUGUUCUCUCUGAGCUCACCUUCCAUUUUUCUAGAUAUAAAUCUAGAAUAAUAUAAAAUAAAAAAAAUAUUCAAGCUUUAUUAUAUAUUCUGGAUGUGGUUUUUGUAUGUUAAGAAAAACUGUGUCUUUAUUAAUCAAGCAAUCUUGGACAGGAAACGAUCGAUCAGUACCCAUGUUUAGAGAUUCACCAUUAUCGGUUCUAGAUCUGGUAUUGGUUCUAUACUGUAUUUGCAUGAUCGGUAUAGUUCAUGCACAGAAUCAAACUCAAGCUACUACAGAUUCUAAUGAGGGUACGAAGCUCCAUCUAUACAGCUCUCUAUCUUAUAUAUAUAUAUAUAUAAAUUCUUGUUGUUCAUGAAGAUGAUAGGUUGAUGACGUUGCUUUCUUCUUUUUUUCAAUAAAUCAUAAAUCAUAUCAUAGGAAUAUAUAUAUAUAUAUAUAUAUAUAUAUAUUCCAUCCCUCUUUUUUUUUCAUUUUAAAAAAAAAUUUAUUAUAGUAUAAAUUUUUAAAAAAUCUGAAAAUUUUCAUUAUAACAAUUUCUUCAUAUUCUAAAAAUAAAAUUAUAAAAAAAAGAAAGAAACGUGAGGAAAUCAAUAAAUGAAUAUUAGAGUAGAGAGGAACAACUUAUUUUGAUAAUUGAUGUUUCAACACGAAAUUUUUAUUGAACAUGAUCAUUUUUUUUUAAAAAUUAUAUGUUAUUUUAGAGACUUAAUAAAAUUAAGAAUUGAAAUAAAAAAAUUUUAAAAAUAUGUUUCAUGAACUGACAAGCUACGUUCGUAUUCUCUCCUCCUCCACCGCAUAUUUUUUUCAUCGAUGUAAUUAAUAAAUUUAGAAAUUUUGUUAUUAUAAUUAUUAUCUAAAAGGAUAGUAAUAGGUUAAAUUUGUCAUUUACAUAUUACUAUCAGGUAGUGCCUGAUCAUGACUUUUUCUAAUAAAUAGUACUAUUAAUUUUUUACAAGUCAAAAGAUAUAAUAAUCUUUUGAAUUUUUUAAAUUUUGACUUUUUGAAAAAUUAAAAAUGUCUGGCAACUAGAACACCAAUAAAAAUGUAGGCAAAAAUUGCUAUUAUUCGCAAGUGGCGGUAGUUAUUACGAUUUACGGCAUAGUCAAAAAAAUAAAUCGCUGCGUAUGAUACUGUAAUUGAAUAAUUCAAAACUGUUUUUUCUUUUAAAAAUUUAAGUAUCCAAAUUUGAAUUAAAAAAUGAUUUUAAUCUGAUGAAUGCAAAUUCAUGAAUUUUAUAGUGUGGUUAAUUUUCAUCAAAUUGUGAAAAUUCUUGUCAGAAAACUCGAAAUCAAUACCUCCACUGGUGAGAAGACCAACCAACUGGCUUCUUCGGUUAAUUUUCGAAGUCAUAAUAGAAACGAAAAUGGAAUCGCCUGUAAAUUGUAAUGAAUUCACUUUGACAUGAUCAUGAGUUUUGUAAAAUUGAUAUAUUGCAGCGAGCGCAUUAAAUUCCAUCUUUCAGCAAUGGGGAAUCCAAGCUAAUCAAAACCAAUGGAAUAUAAGCGGAGAGCUAUGCAGUGGAGCAGCACUCGGUUCAUCACCCGCUAUCGAAAUCCCGGAAUACAACCCUUUUAUCAAAUGCAAUUGCUCUGCCAAUAAUGGCACCACUUGCCACAUUACUGCGCUGUACGUUUUCUCACAAUCAACCUUUUAUGUUUAUUUUGUUGGUCUUUUAACAUUUUCCUUUGCGGAGGUAUCAUAUCUGUUUGAUUUUAUGCCUCACUCGGUAGUGAACGGCUUGAUUUUAGUGUUAUAAUUAAUCUUCGCUCAUUCUUGAAAUGGUUUGCAGGAAAGUUUAUGAAAGAGAUGUUGUGGGUGUAAUUCCAGAUGAACUGUGGACUUUGACUUUCCUCACCAAUUUGUAUGGUUUCUUACUCUGGGUAUAUUUAUUAAAGUCGUACACUUCCGCAUUGCUUUCUUCUUUCACAUGGAAUGAAAGUUUAAGCUUUUAGCAUCCUAAGCCUUAACCAAAUAAAUGCAUAUGCUUUGUUACUUUUCGACCCUCGUCAACCCGCUAGUGUACUGAACUCGUUUUCUUGCCUUACAGGAAUUUGCGUCGGAAUUACUUGACUGGUAACCUCUCUCCAUCCAUUGGCAAUUUAACUCGCAUGCAAUACCUGUAAGCUGAUCUAAAUUUCUCUACUUUUACUCAUAGGAAAUGCCAUUAUAUACUGCUUCUUGUUUUCUGACGUUAAAUUAAUACUUUGAUCAGGAGCGUUGGCAUUAACUCCCUGUCGGGUGAACUUCCUAAGGAACUUGGAUUGCUCACUGAUUUACGAUCACUGUAAGUUUAGUUAGCUGGGAACUUGAUGAGUUUGUUAUUCAACUGAUGAGGACAGCGAUCUAUUUUUUUAUUUUUUUUUUCUUUUCAAUAUGAUUAUUAGCGUAAUGCUUUUGGCUAAGUGUUUCUACAUAAAUAGCGAUCUAAUUAUUGCCCAAGGAUAUAGCCUGUUCUACAAAUUGCUUGCUUUUUAUAUAGUUAUAUGCGAUGGGUACUCGGAUAGAUUAUCUUAAAUAAGACUCUUUCUCUGUUGACUUUUCUCAUUAUAUUGCAGUGUUUUUGGAUCAAACAACUUCUCUGGUCAUCUGCCAUCUGAGCUUGGGAAUUGUUCGAGGCUAGAAGAAAUGUAAGCGUUGUUCAUUUUGUUCUGUUUUAAGUAUAUAAUCUUCAUUUCUUGUUAGUUUGUAUUUAGUAGAAGUGGUUUUUGGAAAUCUAUAUCACUUCUACAUUCAUAUAUUGAAAUGAAUUCAAUGACAGUGAUUAUGCCAUUUUGGCUUACCUACGUUCCUACUUGCAUGUUAACUGUCUUUCAGUUCUUCCCUCACUAUCUAUAAAUAAUUUGACUUUUGCAUUUUCAAAUGAAAAAGUUAUCUGAUAACAACACAGCUAAUAAAAAUAUUUUACCUUGACAGUUAUUUUGGUAGCUCUGGACUUAGUGGUGAAAUUCCUCCUACAUUUGCUAACCUACGAAACAUGGUUACUGUGUAAGAACUGUUUGACAACUUUGACCCUGGUAAAUCUCUUUCUAGAAGAUACUGAUAAAAUAUGGUAUGUUGAUUCUUUGUGUUGGACCCAGGUGGGCACCAGACAAUGAACUUACAGGCAGGAUACCUGACUUCAUAGGGAAUUGGUCAAAGCUUGCGACCUUGUAUGACAAAUGACAAUUCAUAAAAUUUUUUUUAUUAAUUUUCUUGGAUUAAAGCUCAAGUGACUACUACUUUUUGGAAAUUGAAUAGAGGAGAUUUGAUAAUUUUGUGUUGCUGCUUAAAUGCCAAAGCCGUAUGCUUAUAUCAGCUACUCAUAAAUGUAACUGCAGAACGUUUCAAGGGAACUCCUUUGAAGGUCCUAUUCCAUCAGCAUUAUCCAACCUAACUUCUUUGAAAGAGCUGUGAGUACCUGCACCUUUGCAUGCUUGUAUUUAAAUGUUACACACAUAUGAUAUUAACAACCUAAGGUAAAUUCUAAAUGUAGGAGAAUAAGUGAUUUAUCAAAUGGAAGCUCUUCACUGGCAUUUCUUAAGGAUAUGAAAUCUCUAACUGUCUUGUAAGAGAAUAUAAUACUAUCUUCUUAUUCAAUGUCUUGGUGUCAUAUAAAUCAUUAUUUUUUCUCCCCACUGAACUAACUUUUAAAAGUUAAAAUGACAAUUCAGUAUAUGUUAUUCAGGGUGCUAAGGAAUGAUAAUAUAUCUGAUUCAAUUCCAUCCAGUAUUGGAGAAUACCAGAAUUUGACACAGUUGUAAGUUAUUUCUAUUGAUGAGUCAUUAGAUGUACAUGUAGUUGGCAAUAUCUUAUGUUAAACUCAGGUUGGCUAAAAUAUCUUUUUACUCAUUAGCUGAUUGUUGAUUGUAUCACUUUCUGGAGUUGGGUGUUACAAAAUUUAUAAAUUGCUAAAGUUUAGUGAUCAAAUUUAGCAGAUUGGUUGUGCUUUUCUGAUUAGGCAAUUGAUCACUCUAAAGUAAAUGCAAAUAAAUUACCCUCUUUGGGAUGGAGUAAUGGUCUGGUGUCUGGGUUAAAUUCUGAAUCUCCUGUACCAUGAUCAAUCAGUUCUUUUUUUCUGUACUGUGUAUAACUUGUUCAGCAAUUUUGUUUAUCUUUAACCUUAUGGUUGCAAUGAUUUUUUCCCUUAGAGAUUGGAGCUUCAACAAUAUAAUUGGAAGGAUACCGGAUUCACUUUUCAAUUUGAGCCGGCUCUCUUUCUUGUAAUAUACCACCUCUGCUUGAUUUUGUCAUGAUACAUCUCAAAGUGCAUUUCAAAUUAAACAUGUACUGCUCCCUGCUCCCUUCCUCCUCAGGUUUCUUGGAAAUAACAAGUUAGAAGGUCCCCUUCCUGCACAAAAAGUUUCAUCGCUCCUAAAUGUGUAUGUACAUCUCAAAUAUUCUAUCCAACAUCAUAUACUAUCUGUUUAUUUCUUGGUUGGAUUAAAUGCUUAAUGUUUUUCUCUAUGUCCCAAGUCCAGAUAGUUAAUAUUGACAUAACUAAUUCCGGACUAAGGUAUUUCAUGAAUUGGGUGAAAUACUUAUCUUUUUUUUCUUUGACAAUUUAUAAUUACAGUGAUGUUUCAUACAAUAAUUUAUCAGGGAGCCUUCCUUCCUGGGUUAAUAAUCGAAAUUUACAAGUGUAAGUUCUUAGUUCCUCUGUUCUUUACUUUUCUUAGUGAUAUUUCUGACUCAUUCUCUAUGGAGUUAUUGAUGAAAGAACUUCCACUGAAAUCUUUAAUUCUUUGUGGUGUUUGUGCAGUAAUUUAGUUGCAAACAACUUCACAAUAGAUCUUUCAAAUAGCAGGUAAUUCUUUUGGUUCUAUGUUCACCUUUGUGCUUAAAUAACUGGUACUUAGUGUCUGUUAUAAUUUCCUAUUAGUCACUUAAUCAAAUUUAUCUUUGGCUUUCAGUGGUUUGCCAUCAGGUCUGAAAUGUCUUCAAUGUAACUUUCCUUGCAAUAGGGAACCUCCAAUCUGUAAGUAUAAUUAAAAUGCUCUCCUUUUUCAUACUUUUCUGAAAUAGUGCACUAAGUUUGGUAGUGAGGGUCACAGAAGAAGGGAAGGUUAAUUUACUUAAGAAUAAUGUCAUUUCAAACUGUAAACUUUUACCAUUCUUAAUUUGGCAGAAAGUAUAACCAUGAAAUUUUUUAAUCUCCUGGUUCUUGCUAAAGAAAGUAUAACCAUGAGUUUAUCACUAAAGAAAGUUUUGUUUUCAUGGGGUUAAAAAGAUGUCCCAAUAUAACAGUGAGAGGAUAAAUCUGACAGGUUCCUAUUUUCUUCUGGUGCACAGAUUCUCAGUUUGCAAUAAAGAGUGGUGGUCCACCGAUCACGUCUUCCGAUGGAAUCUUGUAUGAGGGGGAAAAUGAGACUCUUGGUGCUGCAACAUCUUAUGUUACUGGUACAAACCGAUGGGGUGUCAGUAAUGUUGGAUAUUUUACCGGAACCAAAAAUCCUCAGUAUACUGCUUCCUCAUCAUCGCAAUCCACAAAUACUUUGGACCCUGAGUUAUUCCAAACGGCAAGGAUUUCUGCUUCGUCACUAAGAUACUACGGUUUGGGGCUUGAGAAUGGCAAUUACACUAUCAAGCUUCAGUUUGCAGAAAUAGUAAUUGAGGAUGGUAACACAUGGAAGAGUCUUGGGCGGCGUGUUUUUGAUGUUUAUGUCCAGGUCUGUGUAUUAUAUAUGAAUUUUUUUUAAGACUUCUAAUGUUGUCCUCCAAAUGGAAGAUAAUAUUGCAAUAGACUUCUAAUUUUUUUUUUUUAAUAUUAAUUCUAAGUAUUGCUCUGGGGAUUUCUUUUAAAUAACAUGAAUGUGGAGAAUAGCUAUAAAAAUUGCUGCAUGAUUGCUUCCAGAAGGAUUUAUCUUUCACAAUUAAAUUCAAAACUAUUUUAGUGAUGCUGAUUAUCAAUGCUAUGGAGAAAUCCAACUCUUGUUUUCUUGUGGAGUCAUUAUAUUUUUACUUUUCUUUAAUUGAAGUUCCGAAGUUAUUUUAAUCCAGGGCAAUCGUGUGCUAAAGGAUUUUGACAUAAGAAAGGAGGCAGGUGGAGUCUCUAAACGAGCUGUAGAAAGGAGCUACAAGGCUCAGGUGUCUGAAAAUUACCUUGACAUCCAUUUAUUUUGGGCGGGGAAAGGGACUUGCUGCAUUCCUUCUCCGGGUACAUAUGGACCUUCUAUUUCAGCAAUCAUUGCUACCCCAGGUACUAAAACUAGAGAAUUUUAUUGAUUUUUGCUAAGCCGAUACCAGGUUAUUGAGUUCUGAGCCUUUAUGCAGAUUUCAUACCAACUGUUAGUAACAAGCCUCCAACUAGUAAAAAGGAUAGGACUGGUCUUAUUGUGGGAAUUGUUGUUGGCAUUGGAGUAGCAAGCUUUCUUCUUGUCUCUCUGGUUUUCUUUGUCAUUCAAAGAAGAAAAAGGCAAAGCACUUAUGAUGAUGAAGGUAAAUGAAAAUCAAACUCCAUAUAUGGUACUACCCAUCUGGAAAAUUGUGUAGUCUUCAUGUAUGUAUCAAGAGAUGCUAUUGGCCAGACAUGAUUUUAGCUUUUUAUUGGUAUUAAUUAACAUUUAUGUAACAUAUUAUGUCAAACACAAAAUGAAGAUUUACUGACUUUCCCUAUUCCACAGUGAGAUUUACUGGAGUCUUUCUGCUUAAUAUAUUACAGUAACAACUAGACAAGUAGUUUUUCGAAUGACCCAUCUUUGUGUUGAAAUUGCAGAGCUCCUAGGUAUAGGUGCUAGGCCAUACACUUUCAGUUACACUGAACUGAAGACAGCUACAGAAGACUUCAGCCCUGCCAAUAAGCUUGGAGAGGGAGGAUUUGGACCUGUGUAUAAGGUCUGCAACUAUUUGACUCAAGGAUAUUUCAAACUGAUAGUCUUUCAUUUCCAUCUAAUAUUUCUUCUGUGUGCAAUCGUUUGGAAUAAAUUGAGGCCAGUUAUUAACUAGACUAUGAACAUGCUUCCUUCGGUCAACUGUAAACAAAGUAUCGGAUAUAUGUUAAUUUUGGUCCUCCAGAUCUUCUGACCACAUGUUCUUUUUUGUCACUUGUAUAGCUGGGCGUUCUGAGGUUGAGCCUUGAUGGUUACUUGUCAUGGGCUCAAACUAUAUGAAUAGCCUCACAAUGCUAGGGGAUGGCUGCAUGCAUUUGACUCAAUGCAUGACGCCUUGUGCACUGGGAUGCCUUCCUUCAUGGUUGAGCUGUCUAACUUGCAGGAAAUAUAAAAUAUGCAGAUGCUUAUUUUCUAAACUCACUCCACACAGAACUUGCAUCUUCUGUCCCGAUUGGAUUGAGAAUCUAAAAGAGUUGUAUUUUUCAUUUUUUUUAAGUUCAGGGUGUGUCUUCCUUUUUUUUUUUUUCUUCUUGUCCUUAUCUGAAUUUUGUUCUCAAAUAGGGAGUACUUAAUGAUGGGAGAGUGAUUGCUGUGAAGCAACUUUCUGUGGCAUCCCACCAAGGAAAGAGCCAGUUUGUAACAGAGAUUGCUACUAUAUCUGCCGUGCAACACCGCAACCUUGUGAAAUUGUAUGGGUGCUGCAUUGAAGGGUAUAAUAGGCUACUUGUUUAUGAGUACCUUGAGAACAAGAGUCUUGAUCAAGCGCUAUUUGGUACGAUAUUUUAUUAUAAAUUCACAUAAGCAAACUCUUGUCUCAGAGACCUUGGUGGAAAUAUAGUUUAAUUAGACGUGGAUUGUAUGUUACAGGAGAAACAAGUUUAUAUCUCAACUGGCCUACACGUUAUGAAAUAUGCUUGGGAGUAGCCAGAGGUCUAGCUUAUCUUCAUGAGGAGUCGAGGCUUCGGAUUGUGCAUAGAGAUGUGAAGGCAAGCAAUAUUCUGCUUGAUUCUGAGCUCAUCCCAAAAAUUUCAGAUUUUGGUUUGGCCAAACUUUAUGAUGAUAAGAAGACCCAUAUAAGCACCCGUGUCGCAGGAACAAUGUAAGAUCCAGUGAUUAUUCUUUCUGACUUAAUUAAUCUCCAAUUUAAUCAUUUCUUGAAAAAAAUAAAUCGUGUGAGCGGAGUAAUUUUAUAGUGACAUCAUCAUUUCUACUGUAGUGGGUAUCUUGCACCUGAAUAUGCUAUGCGUGGACACCUUACAGAAAAGGCUGACGUCUUUGCAUUUGGUGUGGUGGCUCUGGAAGUCGUAAGUGGGAGGCUAAAUUCAGACUCAAGCCUGGAAGAAGAUAAGAUUUAUCUUCUCGAAUGGGUAUGAUAUAAAAGACACAUUCCUUCGAAUGGAACUCUUUUUUUCCCUUUAUUGGAAAGUUUCAAUUGCCUUUACCAUAUGUCCAAUCUUAGCUAUUAAGAAGAAUUAGUGCAUUCAUAUAUUUUAAUUAUGCAAAAAGUUGAAACAUCAUUAAGGUUGGAUGCAAAUUAAUUGUGAAAGUUUCAAUUUUUCACUUAAAAUAAAAUUAAAAAGACCGAGUAUUUUCUUAUAUUCUUUUAGAAUCAGGAUAAAAAUUAUCGUAAUUUUCUUUUUCCUUUUCUUUUUUCUUUUACCUCUUUUCUCUGGUGACCUGAAAAGAACGAGUUUUUCUUUUCUUGUGAUAAGUUGGUAAAUUGUGAAGGAAGUUAAAAAAUUUCUUUCAAUUAUUGAGCAGAGUUAUAAUAACUUUGAAUAAUUUAUACAUCUAUUGCUUUGAAUGUUGUCCAUUAAUGGAACUUGUAACCUUUUUGACUUUUAGGCUUGGCACCUGCAUGAAAACAAUCGUGAAGUAGAACUAGUAGACUCUAGAUUAUCAGAAUUCAGUGAGGAGGAAGUAAAAUGCUUAAUAGGGGUAGCUCUUUUGUGCACUCAAACUUCACCAAAUCUUCGGCCACCAAUGUCACGCGUAGUGGCUAUGCUAACUGGUGAUAUUGAAGUGAGCUCUGUAACUAACAGACCUGGAUAUUUGACUGACUGGAAAUUUGAUGACACAAGCAACUUUAUGGAUGAUAAUGGAGGCAGAGGAAUUGAUACCAGUUAUUACAGUUCAUCUACAAGUGCAAGCAUGGUGACCGACGCAGAGCAUACACAUAGAAGUGCCGCCAAACCCAGGCUUUCGGAGAUCAUUGGAGAGGGUAGAUAAAGAAACCUUCUUUUCUAUUUCCUUCUUUUUCUAAAUGUUCAUGCAUCUAAUUGUAGAAGUGAGCUUUGCUAUUUUAAUAUUGUUUUUCACUGAUGCAAUUAAAUGGAUAUCAAAUUUUUGUUUAAUUUUUAGCCACUCAAAAAAAAAAAAAAAUCCAGGAUUAAUAAAUUAAUACCAAUACAUACUCCAGAAGAAAAUGGCUAAUUUUCUUCUAUAAAGGAAAAAAUAUUUCCAUUUAAUUGCAGUAAAUUUAGAAAAAAUUAUUGGCCUUGAUAUUUCUUAAAUUCACAGAUUAUUGUUGUUAUUACUUUGCAUCAAAAUUAAACUUUCGCAGUCCUAAACAGCCAAAAGAAACCAAAAGUAUUAAUGAAAUAGUUGUUAAAUCAUAAUUUUUUUCUUCAUGCAAUUGCUGCUUUUGUGCAAUAAACGGGCAAAUAUGAAAUACAAAUCAAAUGUAAUACCAUCAAACUUCUAAAUCACAUUUAUUUCAUGAUUCCUCCACUAUAAAAUUCCCCAAAUUACAAUAGCAGAACAGAAUAUUCUGCACAAUCGGUUGCUACCCAAGACAAAUAGCAGCAACAAAGAAUUUUUGCCAUCAUAUGCAAAAUCCCAAAACCCCAUAACCCAACCUAACUGCACGAAAUGAUCCUUGUCAAUCCCAGAACUAAACAUGACACGGUAAAGAAAAACAGAGUAACAAAAUCCCUAGCAGACCAUUUCCUUACCACCUUCGUCUCCACGCGCAAACUCUUAGCUCUUCUAAGCGCAUCAACUUCCUUUAAAAGAUCAAAUUCUAUUCCUUUCUUCUUCAACUCUUCUACACACUUGGCCAAUAACUUCCCAUCUUCUUUCUCUCUCUCCAACAACUUCUCCAUAUGGCAUUCUACAUCUGUUUUAUAUCGAACUGCCCAGAUUAUCCCCAAAGAACACAAAAGAGAACACAAUGAUGGGAUCCAUGAUCUCUUACAGUAGGACCCACUUCCAGGUGGGUCUCUAGAAGAGGCAUUGAAGAGAAGAAGCAAGGAAAUGGAAUGGAAGAGGAAGAAGAAGAUAUAAAGCUGUGUUAUUUCUUUACGUACUGAAUCAAUUUGGGUUUCUUUAAGAGCAACUCUGUUUAGGAUUAGCUCCUCUUCUUUUAGCCAUUGCUUCAAAAGGAGUUUGUGUGUCGGUGUUUCUGCAAUCUGGUGGAGUGGGUGUAGUGGCUUUGGCUCCAUGAUUGAAGGGUUCGUGCCUUGGUCUGCCAUGAUUGUGAAUUUGUAGAGAGAGAGACAGCAAUGAAGAAGAGAGAGAAAUUUGUUUCGGUUCACUUCAAAGAAGAGAGAGAAACGAAAAGGGGAGCCUCUGUUUUUGAAACGGUGGAAAUCUGGGAUUUCUCUCAGUCUCUGCAACGGUCGAAUUUCGGUAAGUUUUUAAAACAUUUGUGUGAGAAGGAGCGAGCGAACGUUCAUUUUCGGCGGUUUAGUUUAAAAUCUUGCUAGACGAAAUGACAAUUUUGUCCUGCAACGUCUGUUAUUACAACGGUCGUGUAAUUUUUAAAUUCGUUUGAAUGCUUUGAAGAUUGAAAUGUUUCAUUAUAUUAGCUAAAGAUCAGAUCAGACUAACUGUACUGUAGUCUCAACUGGAAAAAAAAUAAGGGGAAAGUAUUAUUUAGUCCCUCAGAAUUUAUCUAAUUCACUACUUCAUCCCCGUCUUUUAGUAAACCUCAUAAGUAAUCCUUGAGAUUUAAUUUUGUCUACUCAUUUAGUCCUUCCCUUAAAAAAAAUUGUAUUUUUACGGUGAGUCAACUGAAAAAAAGUAGAAUCAUAAGAAAGAUAAAAAAAAAAAGUUAAAAGACGAAAAUAACCUUUUUACCUUUUCUUUUUCCUAUUCUGGAAUUCACUUUCCUUUUUAUUUCUUUUGAUUCUAAACCAAUCCCUACACAAAUUCUUAAAUUCCACCGGCGAUUUUCCAUUCAAAUCGUCAAUUCCACCGGCGAUUUUUGAUAUAGAAUGUUUGCAACUUAAAAAGGGAAUGAAAUAGAACUAUUUUAAAUUCUGCACCCAACUACUAGUUUAAAUGGUGGCCUCAGUGGAUGCAGAAAGGUAGCUAAAUUUGCAGCUUUUGGAAUACAAGAAUAUAGAAUUUUUAAAUUUUACACUGAAACCGUUAAUAAAAUUGGCCAUAAAAGGGUCCAAACAAUUUUUUUUUUUUUUUUUUAAAAGAUGCUCGAAACUGCCAACAAAUUAUAAAUUUAUAAUUUAUAUAUUAUAAUUAACUUUUAAAUAUAUUUAAUUUCUUUGAGGAAUUUUCCACGAAUAUACUCACAUUCUUCUACACAACACUGAUUUUAUUUCAGAGUUCGGGUUACUCCUAUGGAUAGUGAAUCAAAACCCUUGACCUCUCAAAAAGUUAAAAUUUAUAAUUUAUUUAAUAAACAAUUAAACUAUUUAUAAUUUAUUAAGAAUUAUAAGUAUAAUAUUAUAUAUGUGUGUGUGUUAUAAAUAUUAUAUAUGAUAUUUAUAAAUUAUAGUUUGUAGAUUGUAAUUAUUAAUAUUUAUAAUUGUGAAUUAUAAUUAUGUAAUUUAUAAAUAUCAAAUGCGUCAUCGCAUGGACACUAUAUAUAUAUAUAUAUAUAUAUAUAUAUAUAUAACAUGGAUACUAUUUAUAAUUUUAAAUGGUUUGGUUUGAUAUAUUUUCUAGAUUGGGAUUUAAUUUAUCAGUUGACGGAAAGAGGAGGAGUUGUUGGAUCCUUGCCUGCCUGUAAUUGAAUAGUAAUGGCCUUUUCCGGUUUGUUCCCUGUGUAUAUCUUUGGUGUCCUCCAUCUUCCUCGUUAUGGUUCCUUAAAUUAUUUUUGCUUGAAACUGCCAACUCAAGAAUGAAUUUUUCAUUUUCAUGCUUACAACGCCAACAAAACUACACUCCAUAUAGAUAUGGACUUCAGGUGCAGAGGUGCCGUUCGCCUCUGUGAAUCAUUGAAUUAAAAAAAGAAAGAAAGAGAAACACAGAAAUUAUUAUUAUAUAAAUUACAGGGCACGUGAAAUUAAUUAUAACAGAAACGAGAAAAUAAUACGUUAUACAAAUGAAGAAAUGGAAAUCAGAUAGCCCUAGACAACAGUGAAACUCUGUAAUUUGACUGGUUCGAAUAUGUAUUAUUACUAUUCUCAUCUUCAAACUGCAAAUACACCAAAUUUCUGAUCUCUUGCUUGCAGACCCAAGCUGCUAUUUUCUGUGCAUCUCUCGUGCCUUCUAAGAGCACGAACAUAUAAAAGAAAGCCAAAACCACCAAACAAAGAGUAUACAAAACUUUGAAAGAAUUGAAAAAUAUGUAGUAAGCCACCAAAGUCAGAUAAUACAUUUUCUGAUCAGAAAGAGAGAGAGAGAUGGAAAUUCUAGCUGAUAUAAGAAGAUUAAUGUGAGGAGGAAUGCAGAAUCUGUUGCAGAAGAUUCAGAUGCUGUUUUGUUGGGCAACAAAAGCAUGUAUCCUUUAGGUAUUUGUUUUGGUUCAUUGGAAAUUUGUUUGAGGAAACGGUGGCAUUUAAAGGGAUGAUAUUUUUCCUCACGCUAUAAAUGUGGUUUGGUCCAUGUCAUGUCCAUGUUCAUUCGAAUUUAUUAGUCUCAGAACUCACAACCCUAUUCUUUAUCAAUCAUAAACACUAUUAUAAUUACGGUAAUUAAACAUUUAAUCCUCAGAUUACUAUUUUAUAUAUUGCUAUUAUUGUAGCAAAAUCACUUAUUCAUUCUUAUUAUUUAAUUUUUUUCAUAAAAAUUUAAUUCUUCCAUUUUAAAAAAUAUAAUUUAUCGUUAUGUGAUGGAUGAAAUAGUAAGAUUAAUAAUUAAACAAUCAAAUAUCAUCGAGGAUUAUUUAAUGUUAAAAAUAAUACUAAAAGAACUUAUUAAUAAUUUUACCGAGAGAAAAAAAAAAAAAAAGGAUGUGGUAAUAAUUUUAAUCAAAAUUUAAAGACUAAAUACUUAAUUAUCUUUUUCUUAAUAAUUCUAGCUAUAAUUUUGAUUUUCAUUUUCAAAAUUUUAAAGUGAAAUGUCAUGUGACUUUCUAUUACAUGCUGGCUUACAAAAAACUUUUAAAUGAACAGUUGCUUACUAAGGUUGCGUCUGUUUCAGUAAAAUAAUUUGAAGGAAAAUAUUUUUUAUAAUUUUUUAUUAUUUGGGUAGUUUAGAAAAAUAAAUUAACAAAAAAUAUUUUUCUGAUAAAAAAAUUUAAGUUAUUUUUUAAGGAAAACAACUUCUGGCUCUUGAGAGAGUAAAACAUUUUUCGGACAUUAGCAAACCUUAUAAAUCCAUAUUUUUUAAUUUAUUAAUCAUCACAGUCACCACCAUCAGUCACCAUUUACCACCGAUCACCACCACUGGUGGCUUUCAUAAUUUAUGUGUUUUUUUACAUUCUUUUCAUAUUUAACAAUAAAAAUUUUAAAUUAUAAAAUUUUUAUUAUUAUUAAUAUUUUUUAUGCUCUUAUGAGAUAAAUACUUUAAUAUUUUUAACUAAUUUUUAAUAUUAUAACCAAACAAAGGAAAAUAAUCCAUUUGAAAAAUAUUUUUUUAAAAUAUUUUUCAACAAAUUAUUUUAUGUAACUCUCAAUUUUUUUCUGAUAAGACUAAUUUUAUUUCUAAUAAAGAAAAAAGAAAGUGUAACAUUUUAUUGACUUUUGAUAAAUGUGUGUGUUUGUGUAAAUAUAUCGUGUACGUAUAUGCUGCGUGGGAUACAAAUAAAGAAAACCACGUUUGAAGGCUGACACGUAAGCGAUGGAAUUAAAGAAUGGUGGAAGACAGAGAAGAGAAGAAGCCACACAUACGUACGUGUCGGAAUCAUAUGGAUAGAUUUGAAUUAAUGGUGAGAAAACAGAAACGAUCAAAAUCAAUUAGAAGGUAGUUGAAUGUUGAAAUUAAAUCUCACAUAAUAAUAAUAAGCUGAAUUAUUAUGAACACAUAUUAUUAUAAAAAGUUUCAUUUCAAUUAUUCAUUGCUGACUUCAUUAAUAAUGGCAGUAAGGAUCUACCACAUACAUGAAUAUGAUCCCGACAGCAUCAAUUUUCGAAUUUGAAAAUUAAAACAUGCCUAUCUCAAUUUGCAAUAAAUACAUACUAUUUUUAAUUGGACAUAUAUAUAUAUAUGUCAAUUAAUAAGUUAUUAAAGAGUUGUGUCAAUUUAGUUUUUUUUUUUUCGAAAGGGGUGUCAAUUUGGUUAAGUCUAUCUAUUUUCUCCCGCUAAUUGAAUUUUGAUUUGUGACCCGAAAGAUAAAAUAGUAGUAUUCGGUGAUAAGUUGAAAGUUCAAUUGGAACAUAAUUUUGAAUUAACCUGAGACGAUAGUAUAUUAGCUAUGAUUAAAUUCAUUAUUCAUUUUUUUUUUCUUGAUUUAAUGAGAUUUAAAGGCCUGAAAUUACAUAGAGAGCUUCGUAUCAGAGGUAACCUUCCUCUGAACUCACUAAAUUGGUGAAAUGUUAUCCGAAAAAUUCAAAUUUAAGACUUUUCACACUUCAUAAGUGAGAUAACCAAUUAAAUCAUACCCGACGAUUUUCUUAAUUCUCUAUUUAAUUUGAUUAAUUCGACUUAAUUAAAAAAUUGAUUGAACUGAUCAAAUACUCACCCUCCAAUAAAAUUCAUAAUUCAAAAUAACCCACAACUUCAUUUGCAUCUUUAUCAUGAGCUUAUCAUAAAAUUUUUAUCAAUAUAUAUUGAGAUUAUUAUUCACAAAUAUUAUUUCUAUAAAAUUCACAUUUUAGAAAUAUAUAAAGAUAGCUAUAGCUCUAAUAUUAUUGACAAAUAUAAUAACUAGCAAAAGCAAACACGUGUGUUUUUAUUCAUUCUUCCCCUUUUUUUUUUUUUUUUUUUCUGUACCCUCCUUUUUUUUUGCCUUGCUGUGCAUGUACGUAUAGUUAUUACCGUUAUCGUUCAAGCUUCUGUGGAUGAGUAAAAACGGACCUAAAUCUGUUUAUAUGUAUAUACAAUUAUAAACUGUUGCUAUUAGACUCGAUAAACCAUACCCACUUGAAUGAGGGAGGCGUGUGGAAGCCCAAGUGAAGUUGCAGGGCACCUGCUAUUGCGUCUGAGAAAAUCAUACACAAUGUCAAUGGCAAAUUUCUUCAGAAAAGACGAUGCUUCACUGGCUCUGACACUUAUAUUGCUCAUCAUGUAAGAGACACCAGCUUCUUUUGCUUCCAUCAGUUCUCCAACCUCUUUAUUUGCUUCCCAAGUUAAUUGAAAGCUCACUCUUCUUCCGCUUGGCCUGCUAUUGUUCUCAACUGGUUCUGCUAUUGCCAUUUCUUUGCUGUGCCUUUCCCAUUUCAGGAAUCCCGAAAAGUUUUCAAUCAGCUGAGUUUCCAACUCAUGGCAGUCCCUCAUGUCCUUGUAUCCAUACCUGACCAAGGCAAUCGAACAAUGAGACUGUGUAUGCGGUUGGGUUCAAAAGUUAGGUUUACUAGCUUCCAGAGCUAUAUCCAAGUGAAGGCUUACUUCAAACUCACAAUCUCAUCUGCCUUGAAUACUAAAUCAAACAAACUCUAAUUCCUGUUCAGCAAUUUAAUCGCAAAAUAGCAAUACAAGGAGUGGGGCUGAAUUUAAUUACCUGACAAUGCAGCGGAAUAGGGAGAACUCUGGGGGUCCAACUCUCGCAACAUGAAAACGUUCGCCAGGUGGAACUUUUGGGAUCAUCACAGACUGAAGAGUUACAAAUAUGAGAAUUUGAUGGAAUGCAGGAAAGUUAGUGACGAAAUGAGAGAACAUUGGGGGAACACCAGAUGUAACAUCAGAGUAAACAAGGCAAAUUCCAGGAACUCUUCUAAUUCCAAGGUUUGAUCCAAGGCUCAACAAGCUGUCCAAGCCAACCUUGUUCUCCAACUCAAAUGCCAGUUUUUUUGACGUCCCAUAGUUCCAUAUUGCCAUCAGAGACAAUAUUACUAGAGAGACCACCAGAGGAAGCCAGCCUCCUUUGUGUACUUUGGCAAGGCAUGAAAUGAAAUAAGACGAUUCUACAAAUCCAAACACCAAGACAAACAGGACAGCCCACAAAACAUUUCGCUUCCACACAGUACUAAUGAUCAAGAACAUCAACAAGGUUGUGACUAACAUUACUGCAAUCACAGCAAGACCUGUAGAUAAAAUCAAAAAGAUCUUUUUAAAAAAAAAAAAAAAAUACAUAAUUCAGGCACCAAAUUAAUAUUAAAUAGGAAGGGGAAAGAUAUAGCACCUACCAUAUGCAUUGCCGAUCAUUGCAGUGUCUCUGAAUCCAAUAACUACAGCAAGACACAACAUCAUUAGUGUCCAGUUUACUUCUGGUAUGUAUAUCCGCCCAUGAAUAUUUUUUGAUGUGUGUAUUAUCUUUACUCUUGGGAAGCAACUCAGGGCUCUAGACUGGCUAAUGAUGGAGAAAGUUGCUGAAAUUACUGCUUGGCUUCCCGCUAUAGUUGCAAGAGUGGCUAUGAGAAAUACUGGCCAAAAUAUGACCUCUAAAAGAAGUAAAGAAGAAGGAAGAAAUGUAAGAGAAAGCACCAAAUGGAUAAUUCAACUACUAUGUACUAAGUUUUUAGGACUUACCUGGUAUGGCCUUGUAAAAACUUCUUUGAAGAUCCUCUUUGUGUUUGGAAAGGUAAGCAGCUUCACCCAUAUAAGCAAGAACCAAGCAUGGAUAGACAACUCCUGUAAAUGCAAUCUAUUUCAAGAAGGAAUCAAUAAUUCGCCAAUUACAUUUCUUCAUAAUUGAUUCAAGAGCUUAUAACAUCAGAAAUUGAAGUAGGCUAGGAAAAUAGAUACCCUGAGAGAAAGUUGUGAGAAAUGGCCAAGAUCAGCAAACAUAGCUUCUGUGCCUGCAGAAUUAGACACAAAAAUCAGCCUUACCAUAAGAGAAGCUCUUUUAACAUACAUCAGAUUUUGUCAGUUUUCCUAGCAACUGACCUGUAACACACAGAAUAAUGCCUCCAAGUGAACUCCAUCCAGUUUUUCCAGCUUUCUGGAAAAAUUUAUAGAUAUAGUAUGGAGAUAGAGCAUUGAUCACGCCAGGGUUCCAAUUGAAUAUAUUAUAAAUGCCAACCCCGGCGAGGCAUAGCAACCAAGCUAACAAGAUUGGAGCAAAUAGAAACCCAACUCUAUGUGUUCCAUAGUGCUGGAGUGCAAAAAGCCCCACCAAAACCACACAGGCGAUCGCCACAGUAUAAUCUGGCAUAAACAAACAUGUUAAGCUUAUUGAAAGGGAAAUGCUGCUUGUACCCAUCCUUUCAGUGAACUUGCCAAUUAGACUUGUAUACAAAUGUGAAGAUGUGAAAUAAGGCAAAAAAAAAAAAAAAAAAAAAAAAAAGAGAGAGAGAGAGAGAAAAAGCAACUCAAAUCAGAGGAGGAUGAGGAUUGUAGCUUACUCUCAUGUAAAUUUGGAACCUUAAUUUGGAUUCCAUAGACAGCAGAUAAAACUGUAAAAUAAAAAUGGCAAAAGAAUCAGUGAUUGCAUAAAAGGUACAGGAAUUAAAUAUUUAUAAAAUUACUAGUGAAAUGAAAGUAUCAUAGUUAUCUUACGAACUAGUACCAGACAUUGUUGGGGUCAAGAUUCCAUCACCAAUAACCAUGCUAGUUCCAAGCAGAACAAUCAACAGCAACACAAUGCGAGAAGAAAGAUUAUUCUCAAAGAAUUCCUUUAUAAGCAAGCUAGUUUUUGACUCCUUGGUAGGCAUAGAAAAAUCGUAAGAAGAUACACAUUCAUGCCCCAUGUGCGAGCUAUUUAAAAACCCAAUUUUGGAAUGUCGACAGAGUAACGAGUACAAUGCAAAUGUUCCGCCUGUAUAAGAUUAGCUUCGAAACAGAAUGAGCACUAAUGUUUUGCAUCUACAAGAUGUUUAAAACAUAUAUUGGAAUGGUAAAUGUGAGCACCUUCACCAUUGUCAUUUGCAUCCAACACAAAUAUAAUGUACUUGCAAAGAGGUAUGAUAGUCAAAGUCCAGAAAACUAGAGAAAGUACCCCAAAUAUCUCAUGGUCCUCCUCAUAAAGCCGUAGACUUCCAGAAAACGUGCUUUUAUAGACAUACAGAGGGGAUGUGCAUAAAUCCCCAUAAACAACUCCAAAACUCUGGUAUGCAAGUAAAAGAGUUCUUUUGUAGAGUUGCUGCAUAUAAUUCAAGAAACAAGAAAUUUUGAAAUACUGAUCCAAGAUCACCAUAAAAGGAAAUAGGGAAUUAAACAGAGUUAACAGAGAGAACAUAUUAGAAGGGUAGAACAGUGAUACUUUUACACACUGCAGGCUGCAGCCCAUUAUCAUAUUAACACUAUUAAGUAACGCUAUCAAAGUCCCAUCAACCCGGUCAAGAAGAAUUAAAGAAAUCAUCAAAGAACGUUAAGAAAUAAAUAAAAUCCCCCGUUUGGUUGCCAAGAAAAUGUUAGGAAAAUAAAACCGCCACUGGACUGAACUCUCUAAUUUACACAUUUUUCAAAACGAAAACAAUAAGAGCUUUCUCAGAAACUAAACAGAAAAGAUAAAGCAAAUAUUACUUACACGUCGAGAUUGCCGGAUUGCAGAGACCGAUUCCCGAACCAUUUUCUUUCCCCUAUCAUACACCUCUUUAAAAAUUCAGUUGAAAGUCCAAAGUUUCUUCUUUAAAUGCUCACUGCAAAUGUCUAUUAUCUUCUUGAAGAAGACAUAAAUAUUGGAAAUAAAGAAACUGGUACAGACGGGGAUAUAAAAGAAUUAAUGGACUAUAUCUUCUAGAUAUUCUUUAUGAGAUCUCCUUUAUUCUUCAUAUAAAAACAGAGAUAGACCAAAAAGAGAAGGCGGUUAAAGAAAGAUUCAAUAAAAGAAAACACUAACUAUAGAAAAAGACCUAGUAAAGUAAACAACGGAUGUCAAAAUUUCAAAGAAAGUUCACGUUCUAACUUUCUUGCGUUCAAAUUUGCUGGGUGAUUACCAAAAAUCUCCAUCCAUGCUUGCAUUUCUGCCCUAGGUUUCAAUGACUCGUGCUGUCACCUUCUUUUAAGUAGCAAGUGGCAAAUUGACAAAAUAUUUUUCUUUUCUUCUUUCUAUUUUUCUCUUAUACAAAAGUAAUGCUUGAACAAGAAAAACUUUACAUUAUAAAGUAAAUAACUAAAUAUUCAACAAACCUUGGAGUUUAAGAAGUCGAGUGUUCAUAUCUUUUUAUUUGAGUUUGGAGUUGGUAACUUUACUACAGCGAUAAAGAAACCAACUUAUUUAUAGGUUGCUCAAUUUUCUUGUUUGAAUUUUUGAAGGUCAUUUUCAAGUUCAUUUCUCGGUCAAAAAUAUUAAUUUUAAACACAUAUUUACUUCUCUGUUUCGUUUCAAAUAUUUUGUAAAUAUAAUAUGACAAUUCUUUCUUAAAACAAAUAUCAAAGAAAAUAGUUCUACUGGGUAAUUAUAUUUAUUUUCUUAUCCUGGGAAUGUUCUUGAUCAUUUUCCUAGGUUUAAGGUACAAUCAGUUUCAAGAAAACCAUUAUUCUACAAUUAAAGAUUUUAACCAAUAUCUAAACGUAGGAAUAUGAGUAUAUCUACUAAAAUCAGGAAUCUUUUGAAUUUUAAAUAGGGCGAUAAUAGCUAUUUUGGAAAGGGAAGAGAGACCGGAGAACGAUAGAAAGGUACAAUACUGUACCAAACACAGGCUUUUGGUCAAACCAAGUUAACUUUUCUAUUUAUCAGCUUGCUAGCGAGUUUCCCUAUAAAAUCCCGAUGUUUCUUCUCCUUGAUACACAGCUAGAUAAAAAGGACAGACGAUGAGACCUAAGUAUACACCUACUGAAAUGUAUUCAAACAGUUGGUGGGCAUGAAAUUUCUGAAUAUGAAUCAUACAUGUAAAUGCAUUAAAUGAAUCAUCUGUACGAUGAUAGGGAGGUGGGAGAAAUAUUAGACUUACUAUCGUGAAAUUUUCAUCGUCAAACGUCAGUACCUAGACCAUGACUGACUGGUCAAAUAGUCAAAACUCUUUUGUUGGAUUUUUUUAAGAGAAAAUUAAGAAUAUACAUCAGGCUUUCAACAAACUAACGUUUUCGUUUGGUGUUGCUUGAGCAGUACAGUGACGUUGAACAACCAUUAGCCCAGCUGCUAUAUAUAUAUAUAUAUAUAUAUAUAUAUAUUCACCAAACACAAGAAUAAAUAAGUAAUUUUAAUGUCCUAUAAUUAAUGCAAAUUAAUAUGCAAAUAUGAUUUUAGUUUCCAUAUAUAAGGGAGAUUGAAGGAGAAGUGUAACUGCCAUAUAUCAACCGCUGACAACAAAGAAUCCAUUUGUGAUCAACGUAUAUAAGGUAUGAUUUGGUGGAUAUAAAUGUGAAUUGACUCAUUAAUUACAUAUUUCACGAGUUUCAUGUAUACUAACAAGUUACUUUUGGGACCGGUCAACAUGAAAUGGCCAAAAGAAAAAACUAACAAAAAUCAUGUACCAAUUAUACAAUUAUCCCAAUUUCAAAUCAUUAUAUAGUACCAUACAAUACAGAAACCAAACAAUUAAUGGCUUCUUUUGCAAAUUCCAUUCAUCAUCUUCGUCUUCUACUUACCGUGGUUGCUCUAAUUCAUACAGAAAAGCUUAUUUCAGCAAACGAAGAUAUUAUCGAGUGUGAAUGUCACAACACAGAAACUCCAGAAGUGUGUAUGGAGUGUCUAAAAUCGAACCCUACGGCCUCAGCUAGCAACGAGCUAGGGAUUGCUACUAUUAUCACCAACUGUGUAAGUAACCAUUCAAAACACUUGGCAACCAAAAUGUCAGUUCUAGUUCAUCGAGUUGGAGACGAGAAUUUAAAGUCUGUGUUUCAAGCUUGCAGCCAAGGGUAUUAUCUAGCUUGUGUGGAUCUAUCUAUGGUGGUUUCUAAGUUGAAGAGUGGGGAUUAUGAUAAGGCUGGGCAUUUUGUUCUCACAGCUCUCAGUUUUCAACUUACAUGCAUUACGAAUUUUCAGAUGAACCAAACAUGGCAUCUUCCAGAAAGUAUUGCUUAUGAAAUGAAAGUUUAUGAAGAUCUUUCUGAGGCUGCUAUGAGAAUCAUUGACAGGCUCUAGCUAAUUGUUUUUAAGUUAAAUAUGUUAGUGUAUCAAGAGAGAGAGAGAGAGAGAGAGAGAGAAAUAUAAUCUAAGCUUUUUAUUUUCUUUAUUUUAUGACAGCCUCUUAAUUGUUUUUAUGUGUUAAUUAAAUAUAUAUUUUGUGACUUGAGAGUUAUUUUAAUGCAAAUUAAAUAAAAUUUUUCUAUCUAAAAUGAAUAAUAGAUAAUUAAUUAUCUCUCGAUAUUUAGUUAAAAAUAUAAAAUUAAAAUUACUCAUCACCUAUAUUUUAAAUUAGUUCAUUUUUUUUAAUUAAUUGAGCUCCAACUAGGGAUUCUAACUUGAAUAUCAUUGCCCUAAAUUCAAUUAAUUAAAAUUAGUAAAUUAAUUUCAUUUCCACCCAUAAUUGGCUCAAAAUUUUGCCAUAUUCAUUUGAUUUUUUUCUUUUAAAAAAAAUAAAGAAAGAAAGAAAGAAAGAAAGAAAGAAGACGUUGGACUUUAUACUUUUCUACUAUGGGACAGGUACCAAUAGUGGACUGGGCUUCGAUUGGAUAUGCUGUUACGUCCACUAGUAAGACUGAGGACCAUUUAUCGUUUCCCUUGCAUCUCCUCUCUCUGUCGAAGAAGAAAACAACAGAGCCGCCAUCACUUACCAGAAAUUGAGAAGUACUGAUACUGAAGCAGAAAGUCUGUACGGUAAGGUAAAAGCCUGAAUAUCGACUUCUAGUUCUAAAUAGUGGAAAAGCUCACUUCUGUUUUGUUUCUCAUUGGAUUGAAUUAGUGAUAUAUGAUUGCAUUUUGAAUUGCAGUUAAAAACGAAAUGAGUUCUUCGUUGCACAUUUAUUCGAACACUUCAAUUUCCCAGUCACUUAAUCUCCGCCGUUCAUUCAAUCGAGAGAGUCUAGAAAGGCGACUAGUGGUAAAAUUCAACGGUCGGAAGCCAAUCGCCGCCUCAUGUCUUAACGUGGACGUGAAAGCGCCGGACAGUGCCGGAAAAAUCGGGGUGUUGAGGGAGAGCAAGGAGGUGAUAGAGGCGGAGGGAAGGGUUAUGGUCGGGACUUACGCGAGAGCACCGGUGGUUUUGGCUAGUGGCAAAGGUUGCAAAUUAUAUGAUGUUGAAGGGCGGGAGUAUUUAGACUUAACUUCAGGGAUUGCUGUGAAUGCGUUGGGGCAUUCUGAUCCUGAUUGGGUAAAGACCGUUGUUGAGCAGGCUAAUGUGUUGACCCAUGUCAGUAAUGUCUAUUACUCCAUUCCUCAGGUUCGAUAAUCCAUGAUUCCCUCUUUUCUUUUUCUUUUUCUUUUUUUUUUUUUCCCUUUUUCUAAUUUUUCAACUUGCGUUUAUGGUUGUUUGUUUGCUGAGGGAGUUUGGGAAUUUUAAGAAAUUGGUUUCUUUGAUCUUGAAUUGGAUUUAAAGUUUGUAGCAAGCUGGAUUUAAGAAGUGUUAACAAGUAUCUGAUACAUGUGAAAGGAAACAAUUAUUAAAAAAGUUAAAUACUUGACUGAUGAUUAAACUAAGUAUAGCCUCAAGUGCCCAUCCUAUUAUCUUGAACUGCGAUUAUUUUGGGGAAAACUUAGGCUUCUUAAAGCAAGUUUGAAGUAACUAGACACAAAAAUAGUUUCUCUCUGUACCUUGUAUUGGUUUUGAUUUUCACAUUAAGGAAAAACAUUUAUUUUCCUAUCUAUAGUUCAUGGCUACUAAAAUGUUACUGGUGAUUGUGUGGCGUGAUCUUUGCGCACUGGAAUUAAGAAAUGUGAUAUCUAAGAACUGAAUCAAGUUGUUCAUAAUUCUGGAGAAACUAUGGCAUGAAUUUUCUGUAGACAUUAAGGAAGAAUGAGAAUGGUUCUUAUUCUCUGUAUUCAUGUUAUUCUUGGAUGGCGGAAUUUAUGUGAAUUGAGUGCUAAAUCUUUUCUUAAGCUGACAAUUACUUCCAGUGUUGCUGCAGGUGGACCUUGCUAGGCGUCUAGUAGCUUGCUCUUUUGCUGACCGUGUGUUUUUUACAAAUUCUGGAACUGAAGCAAAUGAAGCAGCUAUCAAAUUUGCUAGGAAGUACCAGAGACACUCAAACUCUAAAGUUGCAGAGCCAGCCACAGAAUUCAUAUCCUUCUCCAAUAGUUUCCAUGGGAGGACCAUGGGUGCACUUGCCCUGACAAGCAAAAAACAAUAUAGAUCACCUUUUGAGCCUCUGAUGCCAGGGAUCACUUUUUCAGAGUAUGGCAAUAUAGAUGCGGCAAGAGAAUUAAUUCGAAAAGGGAAAACUGCUGCAGUUUUUGUUGAACCUCUCCAGGGUGAAGGUGGCAUCUAUAGUGCAACAAAGGAAUUUUUAGAGUUUUUGCGGGUUGCUUGUGAUGAUGCUGGGGCUCUCCUGGUCUUUGAUGAGGUAAUCAGCUUUUUUCAGUAUCAAUUUGCAAUAAACAUCUGUAUAGAACAGAAUGACAGUUGGAUUUUGAAAAAAAAAUUAGUGCUUUCAUGUGCUUGUAUAUGGAGGCACAGUCUACUUUUGUUGAAUAUAUAUGCUCGUAAACUACAUGUGUUUGUGUCUGAUACAGUGGGUGAAGAUUAAAAUUGGCUGCAUUAUAUUAUUUUAAUCUGCUAAAUUUAUUACAAAGAAUGUGCUUUUUAACUGCUUUGGGUAUUAAACUCUAUUUAAUGUACAAUUUUGGCUAUGCUUUAUUCAUGUUCAUGAAAUUAGUCAAAACGGAUUCUCAUCAAACUCAGUUAUUCUCCUUAUUCUGAAGGUGCAAUGCGGUUUAGGCAGAACUGGAUAUCUGUGGGCCCAUGAAGCAUAUGGUGUCUUUCCAGAUAUAAUGACACUUGCCAAACCACUUGCUGGAGGCUUACCUAUUGGAGCCACAUUGGUGACUGAAAGAGUUGCUUCGGCUAUAAAUUUUGGUGAUCAUGGAAGUACUUUUGCUGGUGGACCUCUUGUCUGUAAUGCUGCCCUUACCGUUCUAGAGAAGAUCUCGAAUCCAGCUUUCUUGACCAGUGUGUCUAAGAAAGGGCUGCACUUCAAAGAAAUUUUAAAGCAGAAGCUAGGUGGAAACUCACAUGUGAAAGAAAUUCGAGGACUAGGACUGAUUAUUGGGAUUGAAUUGGAUCUACCAGCCUCACCACUUGUGGAUGCAUGCCGAAAUUCUGGCCUUCUGGUGUUAACUGCUGGAAAAGGAAAUGUUGUGAGACUUGUGCCACCUUUGACCAUAACAGAGCAGGAACUUGAUCUUGCAGCAGAGCUUCUGCAAAAUUCAUUGCCAGCGCUGGAUGAGACAGGUCCAAAACAGGAGGAGGAGAAAAUUUAACCCGUAAGAUGCAGGUAGAAAUCUUUCACAUUUUGUAAGAUUGAUUUGUUGGUGUUGUACCUAUUGCAUAAUCAAAACGCUAUAUUGUAGUUCUGUGUCCUCCCACUUCUCUCUUAAUAAUUGGAUUAUAAGGUGAAAUGCUCUCUCAAUUGUAAUUGCAAAAAUUAUACAUCCAAAAUUGAAAAUUCUAACAAUGGCCCCACAGAAGUGGCCCCCAACGUCCUCGUGGUCUCCAUUAGGUCACUAACAGUAGCCGUUUUGCAUCAUGAUCAGCGGGAUAUCUGGGCCUAGUUGGCCCAUUUUUGUGAGAAGUUAAUUCCGGUAACACUCGAAGCCCGCAUGAUGCCACCUUCAAUUUACCAAAUUUUCCUACUUAAAAAAAAAAAAAAAAAAAUUGAAAAAAGCAACCUAACAAGUAACACGUAACGCACGCAAAAAGAAAAAAAAUUACAAUGCCACAUCAAUAAAAAUUAGAUUUAAAAGUCAGAUUUCAGACGAAAAAAAGUAGAUGCAAGAAAAUCUGCGUCUUAUGUGCGGAAUGCUUAGCUAAUCACAAUGCUAUAAUUGCUCCACGUUCUCUGUCUGAUCCUUUUCUUGUCUGUCUCACACCUAGAGAGCUCAAUCAUUCUGUUUUUUGAAAACACCUGUUUCAUUUCAUAGCUCUACCAUUUCUAUCUUUGAGCUUCUGACGGCUCGGAGUAGAUUGGCUUCUUUUGAUCUGUAAUCAUGGCAUCUGCUCCGUUGAGCAAGAUCGAGACGGCUCACCAGAUGUACAGAGACGGAAAUUACGAGGAAGCGCUAGGGUUUUACACAGAGGCGCUUUCUAUGGCCAAAACCAAACCCCAGAAGAUUGCUUUGCAUAGUAAUAGAGCUGCUUGUUAUUUGAAAUUGCACGAUUUCAAAAAGGUACUCUCUUUUUUGUUUUUAGGUACUUUAAUAAUUUCAACAUUUCAAUUUGAAAAAAAAAAUGAUUUCUGUUGCUUUUGUGUUGAUUUUCUUUGUUUGGUUCUAGAAGCUGUAUUUUCUUUGUGUUGAUUCCUGACUUUGAUGAUAGGCAGCUGAGGAAUGUACAUCGGUGCUUGAGCUUGAUCAAGAUCACGUCGGAGCAUUGAUGCUGCGGGCGCAAACACUCGUCACCCUCAAGGAGUACCACUCUGCUCUGUUUGAUGUGAACAGACUUAUGGAGUUGAAUCCGUCAUCAGAAGUUUAUCGAAAUCUUGAAGCUCGAUUGAGGACGCAAUUGGUAUACCCUCCUAAUCUUUAGCUAAUUUUAUUCAAAUGAAUGUUAUAUCAUAAUAUUAGAGGUAUCCAAGAUCAAGAAAGAGUUAUCACCUUGUCAUUUGCGUAUUAAACUACAUAAUUAAAUUUGCUUGGUCAUUACUAGCUAUCAAAUUAAGGUAGCUGUUUUGGAUAGAUUUCUUGCUGGUGUGCGGUGACAAAUGAUAGGUCAAAAGUGAUUGCAAGUUGGCACUUAUGUGCAGCUGCUAAAUGUUGUGUUUUGUCAUUAGUAUGUUUUGGGUUGCUUAACAGCUUCAACUAGCUUCAGGCAAACCCUUUUUUUUUUUUUUUUUGCCUUGGAAGUUUGCUUUACAUGUUGAUGUGCAUCUGGAAUUUCUUGUAUUGCCCAACAAUGAUCGAGUCUCUUAAUGUGCAAAUUCCUGUUGACGCUAAUUUAAUUGAUAAUAAUGUUCGUUGACCAAGACUGUGAAUUUGUAAAUAAUAAUCUCCUGCUGUCAGUUAAAGAAAUAAUCUUGUUUUGCUUAAGGAAGUCUCUUGCUCCAAUACCUGAAUCUGAAGCUGAGUUGGAAGAAGAGGAAGAAAAGGAUGAAGCAGAAUUAUGUAAGGAGAAAGAUCAACAAAAUGGAGAAGAAGAUGCGACUAUUGAAAUAGUCAGAACUAUUCAAGAGACUGAGCCGUGUAGGUCUACUGUUAAUACUGAAGUUGUUGUGCCUAAAAUACCAAUCAUCAACAGGACUCCUGAAAUAAAUAGGGAGCAAAAGCUUGAGCCAAGAAAGACAAUUGCUGCUGAAGUUAUAGCUCAAGCACAGCGGAAAGUUGAGCCCAGAAAGACUCUUGCUGCUGAAGUUAUAGCUCAAGCACAGAGGAAAAAAGAAUCAUCCGAUCAGCAUUCCAAAGCAUGGCAAGCAAUCCCGAAACCAAAGGGGCACUCCACUUUGGAUUAUGCUCGCUGGGACAGAGUUGAAGAUGAUUCAAGUGAAGAGGACAAUGACGAUGAUGAUGAGGAAGAAUCGCAGCCUCAGUAUCGGUUCCGUGUAAGAACUGUUGGUGUCCGAUCAGUGAAAUGAGAUACACAGAGUACUGACAUAGAUGGCAGCAAUUUUCACUAUCAUACCACAGUGAGAAGUCAAGGUACUUGUGGCUUGGAAAAGUUUGGUUGGAAGAUCCCUGAUAAAUAUCAUGCCAAAAACUCUGGAAGUCCAGAAAACCAUCUUUGACACAUGUGAACUUUGGAACUGGUGAGCCAAUGAUCAUCUUGAUGAUUCUUGGAAAUUGGAGAGUAUGGCUCUCAAGUUUUGAAAACAGAACAAGCUUCAUUUGUCUCAACCUCAUUCUCUCUAUAUAUGGCUACCUUAUGUUUCUGUUUGGUGAAGAAGCAGACUACCAACAACUGUACAUUUAUAAGAUGGCUAAAAGCGGAGGCUCGGAGCUAUUGUCUUUCUGUGAUGUAAUUACGCUUUCUGUCUCUGUGAUGACGGAAUGUCUCAGGUGUUUCCUUGGUCGCCAAUGGUGGAGGCUGCAACCCUGCCUUAUAGGACACUAACUGGCUAAAGUAGCAAUUUGGAAGCUUAGAUAUUCUCUAACCCUUCAACUUCUCAAUUGAAUAAGGAUCAGGUGUUAGUUCUUAUAAUAUUGUAAUUAACAACCUGCUUGUGUAUUUAUUACAUUCUUGUACUUGAAAUCUGGAUUUUUUUUUAAAGGUAAAUCUAUAAAAUGUUGAAGUGCACCUUUCAGUUGUUGGAUUGUUAUAUUGUUUCUGCUGACAGUUAAAACACUAGAACUCUAUCUAUUAGUUCUUGGUAAGAUAAAGGGUGUCUUUUUUUUUUUUUUUUUUCUUAUAAAUUUUGUCUGCUUGAAGGUAGGAAUGCUAGGCAGGUGGCUUAUUUGCUUCAAAUAUGUAUAUUUUCUGUAAAAUUUAAAACUUCUUAUUCUCAUUCUUAUGAAAAUGAUGUCCUUCUAGAGUUGGUUGACAUUCUUUUCCAAAAAUCAGUAUCGUUGGCUCAUUUGGGGAGUCUGGCAAAAUUAUAUCUAGACUUUUUAGACUUGCUGGAUUUAGAUUGAGCUUAAAAGAAAAUAAUAUGGAAAUCCAAAUCUUUAAAAAAUAAAUCCCAAAAUUGAAGAAAUGUUUAAUCAAUUUACCUCUAUAAAUUAUUAAAUAACUAACUUAUAAUUAUUGAAUAUGGGCUAUAUAAAUCAUCUAAGUCUGUUCUUUUGAUAUUAAAAACGAAAUCUUCAAUAAAUAAUUACCAAAAUCAACUUAUCAUCUUUAUAGUGUUUUGUACUCUUGAUGCAUCUUUAUUAUAUAUUUUGAAACCAAUUAAGUUGUUAUAAUUAAUUUUAGGUGGAAAUAAAAUGGUACACAACUACAAAUAUCUAUCUUUAUCUUUAUUUAUUUAUUCUUUAACAUUCUCGUGAAAAUCUUUUAAUAUUCUCGCAAAAAAAAAAAAAAUGCUUUUAUAAUUUUUUUUAAAUAAAUUAUAGGAAUACUAAGUUAUUAUAGUUAAUUAUAAACAUUUGUUUUGUAAUAAAUACAAACUUUGUGUGUAAUUAAUUUUAUGAAAAGUUGUGUGAUAAUUAAGAUAAUACAUUUUCGUUUAUAUAUUUUUUUUCUUAAUAUUUUAAAACUUUUACCAUAUAAAUUUAAGUAUCAAUAAAUGUAAAAUACAAACAUUAUUUAAAAAUAAUUAAUAAAACGAUUAAAAUGAAUUGUGUAAACGAAAGUAAUUUUUUUUUUUUUUUGAAAAUUAAUCAAUGAAAUGUUUUUAUAAUUAAGUGUAACAAUGUUGUUAACUUCAUUUUUCACGUAUAUAAAUUUAACCUUCCAAAAUGUAACUUUAAUAUGUCGUUAUUAAAUAUUAAAAAUUUAUAUUUUAACAUUCUCAAAAAAAAAAAAAAAAAAAAUUAAGGUCACCAUUGUAGAUAAUUUAAUUCAACAUAUGGGUAAAAAAACGUGCAAUGAACUUUUUUUUUUUUUAGU
rnacentral:lncRNA from 1 species